CUCGUUGCAUCUCUCUUUUAGAACGGGACAAUUACAAAUGUCUAUUGUUUUUAAUUUGGUGAGGCAUUUCAUAGCUUCAGCUGUAGGAAAAUAAUUCAGAUUCAUGCAUCUGUCUAUACAUAGGGACUGAAGAGAUGCAAAGUUCCCCAAAGUUCCCCAACCACUCGGGAGAUAAGAAAAGGUUUAGCUUCUAUCUGAUUUCAAUUAUACAAUUGACCGCUGUGGUUGAAUAUAAUCAUAUUAUCAUUAAAUCCCAAUAAAAACAAUAACUCUGAGAACUAAAGUUUUGAAGAAAAGGGGUUGUAUCACUGUUCAUCAAGUUUACAAAUCCAGGAGAUAAACAAUUUACAAUUUAACACAAUGGGUUUUAUUUAUUGCUGAUUAAUAGAACUCUACCAAAUUCAAUAACACAAUAAUCAAAAUUCAGUUCCAAAAAUAACAAUAGUUUAGAGAAUUGAAGAAUUGAAGAAAAGGUGUUGUACUUGUGUUCGUGGAAUGGCAUUGCCUUCCCAGCUGGAGCCAUGGCUCUCGAACUGAACCCUCAAGCUUUUGGCCGGUACUACUCUGCAAAAACAAAAUCAGGAAAAUUUAAUAAUUUCAGAUUUGGUCAUAACCCACCAAAUUAAUUUACAAUCACAAACAAAAAAAAGGGAAGAAAAUAAUGAGUUAAGUGGGACAAACAAUAAAGAAGGGAGAAUCCACUUUACCAACGAGGUCCAGGCGUCGGAGAUGUUCCUGGGUUUGAACAUUUAUACGGAAAAGCAACUGCAAAUAUACGGAUAGAGGGAAUUUGAGGUUUGUAGUUCAUCUACUCGGCAAUUUCUUACCAUUGAUACACCUGAGUAGUGAGACAGCUUCAGAUAAUACUAUUCAAUUCCACAGGUAGUUAUAAACCAUAAUCUUAUAAUUUCUCAAAAUAAAAAUCAAUGGGACUAAAAACAAAUGGUACAUAUCAACUUUGAUGAUUUCUCUUAUUUUCCCUCUCUUCCUUAGCAACCAAAUAGCAAUUGAAAAUUACCAAAAACUGAAAAGAUUGAAGUACCUGGGCCCGUUGCAAUGCCUGGGUUGCCAUCUCCACUUAGUGUAAAAAAAAUCAUGGCGGGCAUUUUCGGAGCAGCUAAACCCUUCAUCCACAAACCACAAUGUAAGUAAAAAAUCAACAAAAUAAUUUGUAAUUGCAUUAAUCCGUUGAAAAAAAUAUGCUAAAGUGCAGCAGCCCAACCCGCCUGUUUUGCAGAUAUGAGACAGAGAGAGAUGAGAGGAAUUAAUGCAAAACCCAGCCCAACACGCGUGAGAGCUGAUCCGAGGUCCAAAUGCAGCAGCCCAACCCGCCUGUUUUGGGUGAAGCACAGCCCACACCCGAUGGCACAACCGUAAUUAACUCAAAAUCGAAUUCCAAUUUCGGAAGCAAAAUGAAUACUUUAGUUUCAGUCCCAACUUUAGACUUGAGUAAUAUGCAUCUGGAUAAAUCUAAUCAAAAGAGAGAAGCUUACCAUGAAUCUGGUUCAAUGCAACUUCAAACAAUUGGGAAUUGCCGUUACUCAUCAUUCGCCCCUACUCGAAAUCUGUCUCAAGGGACAAUUAAAAAAUAACAACUUUGGUGAAUGCCAGAGUUCACAAAAAAUGUUAAGAAAGAUCACUUCUAAAUGAUAUCUUAUGGUUUCAACUAAUUGACUAUAACAAAUGGUAUCUUGAAAAACGUUACAAAUACGAAGAACACUUCAAAAUUUAGACACGAAUUUUUAUUUUAUUUUUUUCUUGAACUAAAAAUUAUAUAUUUACUUCAAUAACUGACUAAUUAACUAAAAUUCGUAGAGAAGAGAACAAUCAAAAGAGAUGUGAGAACAUGAUUGGAAUAGGUAUUUAAUCAGAUGCAUAUCAUGAUGUAAAUAUAUCUUAUCACAAUUUUGUAUUGGGGAUUGAAAUCUACCAUGUACAUUAAAUUGUAGUUUCAGGAAAACGAAAUAGCAACAUACAUACCACAUAACAAGUGAUUCACUUUAAUGAAAAGGUAAGGGAAGAAAAUAGAAUACAUUGUGCGUAAUUGAUUUAAGAACCGGAAAAGAAAAAACAUACCAAUAUUUGGAAUAUGAGAAAUCUUGUGCCAUUCCGAGCCGCUCUCCUUGUUGUAUCCCUCUUUUAGAACGGGACAAUUAACAAUGUAUAUUGCUUCUAAUUUGGUGAGGCAUUUCUUAGCUUCAGCUGGAGGUAGACACUUCAGAUUCCUGCAGUUACUUAUCCGUAGGGAUCGAAGAAAUGCAAGGUUCUCCAACCACUCCGGAAGAGCCUCCAUUCCGUUAAAGUUCCAUAUUUCCAAAUGAGCUAGAGAAGUCAAGUGUUUAACUUGUUCAGGCAGAGACCGAAGCUUAGGCCAACCAUACAAAUGUAAUGAUUCAAGUUGUGGAAUAACCUCAAAAGGAGGGAAUGAAUCGAGCUCCUUCCAAAACCCACCAAUUAUCAAUUCCUUCAAGCUGGUGAGGCUUUUAAAUCCACUGCGCAGUUUUUUUAACUCAAGAUAAUCAACCUUCUCCAACUCACGGAGGUGUGUGAGGUUUUCUAAACUAGGAAUAGAGUGGAGGGAUGGUGGGAGGCCGUGAAUCUCAGUGUAUCUUAGCUUUUCACAAUGAGAUAUUGUCAAAUCCUGAAGAGAGGUACAAUAUUCUAACCCACUCGGCAGGCUUAAUAAUUCAGGACAGUUGCCAAUAACCAAUUUACAGAGAGAUCGGAGGCCCUGUUCCAAUGCAUGGUCCUGUUCAAAUUGAAUGGACGUCAGCUUGGAGCAAUUUCUGAUGGUCAACUCACGAAGAGAGGUGCAGCAUUCAAGUCCCUUAUGUAGACUGGAUAACUCAUUACAAUCACAAAUAGACAAAGCACGGAGAGAAGUGAGCUCGUACAUGUCUGGAAUGUGGUUUAGACUCUUGCAAUCAGAUAUAAAAAACUCCUUAAGAGAGACAAGUUGUUGUAGCCCAUCAGGCAGGCGCUCUAGAUUAUGACACCCGGAAAUAUGCAAGGACUGAAAAGAAAGCCAACAACCAAAUACAUCAUCCGUUGUAAUACAGGUUAAAUCCGGACAAUAAUUUAUCUCCAAAUAUGCAAGAUUCUUGUUGUUUUUAAACAUCCCUUCUGGCAGACAACCAAGUCCCUCUACUUCUUAUUUUGAGAGAAGUAAGAGCGGUCAGGUUGCUGCUUAUAUUUGCUAUUGGCAUGCCGCUACCCAUGGAAUGUAUCUCUAACUUUUUCAGAGAUGGAAAAUGACUGGGAGCACUUCUCAAUUGAUCGCAGUAGGUCAGAGACAGCUCCUCGAGGCAUGGAAAGAGCACAACGUUUUCUGCAGAUUCCUUCCAUUCAAUUAGAUUCUUAGGUUCAGAGAUAUGUAAUCUUUUUAAUGAAGGAAAGGGACUCCCCAUCAUCCACUUCUCACCCAUAAAGUAUAUAAUCUUCAAAUAUUCCAGUUCAGGGUGUGCUGGUAGAAGACCUUCUAGUACAUCCUCAUCAUUAUUGUUGAUCAUAGACCUGUCUUCAUCCCAUUCAGGGUGUGCUGGUCCAAGGCCUUCUAGUACAUCCUCAGCAUUAAUGCUUGACCCUUUCUCAUAUCCCCAUCGAAAGACUAAUUCACGCAGAUUUGUCUUCUCUGCUAGUUUUGCUUUCUUCGCUUCCUCUCCAUCUCUCACAUGCUCUAGAUUAAAUAUGGAUAAUCGGCCUUUCAAUUGCUUUAAGCCAGCCAACUCCUCUAUUCCACGACCUCUCUCCUUACCCACACUGAAAGAAGGUAAAGCUUGGAGAUUAGUCAAACGCCCAAUCCCAAUUGGAUAUCUCUCCGCAUCAAAUGAAAAAUCAAAAUGUCUCAAGUUGAUCAAAUUUUGCAGUUCCUCUGGAAAACUUGUGACAUAUAGCAUCUUCAACGUCUGUAGAUUAUAAAGCUUGCCAAUAGAUUUGGGGAGCUUUUUUAUCCAUGUAUUGGAAACAUCAAGAUACCUCAAGCAUUUCAACUUUUUAAUUGAAAUUGGCAACUCACUAAUUUCAGCACCGCGUAAUUUUAAGACGCGCAAACCUUUAAAUCUUGAGAAGAUGCCACCAAGUUUAUCACCAUUCAAAUCUCCGUUUGGAAUUACAUGCAGUGCCGAGGUAGAGAGCUUUGCCAUAUGUCGAUUCUCAUCGGAGUCCUUGCUCUUUGAUUUUGACACAUGUUCUGCAAGAUCGUGCACAAGAUCAUGCAUCUUGCAACUGUAAACAGUAUUUUCUUCCAUUUCAACAUCUUGAAAAAAGGAGUUCUCCAAUAGAAUAUUAAAAUAUUCAUUCCCUACAUCCUCCAUACUUUUGUUGGGACAAGGUUGGAGCAAUCCUUGAGCCAUCCAAAGUUGGAUUAAAUCCUCCUUUUUAAUAAUCUCAUCUUUGACGAACAUUGAACAAUAUGCAAAACAUUGUUUCAAAGAUGGUGAUCUCAAUUCAACAAAGCUCAACUUCAAAACUGAAAGGAUUGUUUUUUCUCCUCCUUGCAAAUUCCUUAUUGUACUUUCUCCUUCUUGCAAAUUCCAUAUUGUACUUUCUUGAAUUGACUGCCAUUCACCACUCGGUUUACGACGCAUCAUAUCUCCCAAUACCUGUUGGAACACGAGUUUGAAUGUCUAUCAAUUGAGAAUUCAUAGGCUAAAAAUUAACGACAUGCAAUAACUAUGUUAACUGAUCACUAGCAUAUUUUUAAAAAACAAAUAGAAAUAUCAUCAAAUAAGGUCUUGGCAAUGAUUUGUGGGAGCUCCAUGUAAGUGUUCUACUUCUAAUGUGAAUGAGACCAAACUAUGUUUGGGAUAUAUGUAUUUUGGUAUAUAAGUAAUUGAACAUAUAUUAUUAUUGGACUUUAACAUAUUUCAUAAUUAAAUAUUAUGAAGACCAGAAUAAUUAAGAAAUCAUUUUGAAUUGUGAAGUAGUUAAAACCACGUCGACAACUGCUAGUAACGAACUCUAUGAUAGGAGGAGUGGUUAUUCUAAAAACUCCUCUACACCUAAAAAAAAAGCUGUGGCCUUUCUAAAAAAGGUGACACCUGUCCACCCAUUUAAACACCUUAACAACGUUAACUCGCUGCCAUCUCCUUUGCGUCUCACCGACUGCCCUUGUCGGCUUCCAAAAUUCCUCAAGACAAAUGGGGAUAUACGAGCCGUUCCGGCAGGUCGGUAUAUGGAAGGAAACCUUGAGAGGUGAUGACAACUGUAACACAGCUGCUUCUACAAUUACACAAGUGGAUUCUGGGACCGUAAACAAGGGGAUAUUUUCUCACUCUACUCCAACCUCUCUCCUCCCCAAUUUUUGAGUAAAUUGUAGCUAUGAUCCCUUAACUUUAACUCAAUUGGAGCAAUGGUCCCUCAACUAAAAAUCCAUUACCUUUGGUCCCUCAACUUAUCAAAAUGUGCAGCUAUGGUCCCUCAACUAAAAAUCCAUUACCAUUGGUCCCUGAACUUUAAUUCAAGUGGAGAAAUGGUCAUUUAACUUUAACCCAAUUGUAGCAAUGGUCCUUUCAAUAUAACUCGUUUUGACAAAUGUUUUGACAUAGUUGACGAAAAGAACCAUAAUUAUACACUUUGAUGAGUUGAGGGACCCUAAUUGUAUAAAUGGUCAUUCCAACAUAGCUUAUUUUGACAAACUUUUGACAAAAUUGAUGAAAAUGACUAUAGCUACACAUUUUGAUAAGUUGAGGGACCAAUGGUAAUGGAUUUUUAGUUAAAGGACUAUUGCUCUAAUUUGAUUAAAGUUAAGGGACCAUUUGUACAUAAAGCGCUUUUCUGGUAAUUCCCUAUCCCUCUGCCUUCUCAAUUUUUCCUCAUGAGUUUUUUCAAAUUCAUAUUCUUCGACAAUCCAGAUCCUCCAUACCCCAAAUUUGAAUCCCAAAUGGGGUCUCAUAAGAGCAGUUCCAGCGGAGGGCAUUUUGCCCAGCACCCAGCUGAAAAACUGCCCAGCACCCUGUGAAACCCCUCCACCAGACCCAAUUGAUUGGCACCCAGUCCAAGCUGGUCUCUAGCCCAGUCCAAAAUUGAUUGAGGUGUUGCCCGGUACAUCUAACUCAUGCUGACGCCAGUUCCCGUUUUCGGGCCUAAAAGGUGAAAGAAUAACCAACUAAGCACAUGGAAAAGCAGAGACAAGCAAGAACCACCACCACCGCCACUAAUGCUUUCACACAUCUCACACUUCUCACACGUCUCACACAACACUAGGUUCCGAAUCCUCUUCUUUUUUUUCAACAAAAAUGGCCCAACUGUUUUAGGCAACCAUUGAAGAAAGAAAGAAGGAAAUGGUGGGCGUGGGUGGAAAAAAUUGAACUUUUUCUAUGUUUUCGUUUUGGGGUAUGAAAAUAAAAUUACAACUGAAAUGGGUUUCAUGUGUAAGCCACGUUUUCUGGGUUGAAUUUUGGUACUUGUUUGAGUUCCUGGGUGUGGAGCACCUCCAUGGCGAGCUCCGGUGAGGAGACAACAACGAGGUGCCUGCGGGCGUUUGUGUGGAGCUCCGGCGAGGUCCCAUCCGUUGGUGUGGAGCACCUCCACUGCGAGCUCCCAUUUUUGGGGGAGGAGGUCCAUUUCAGGUGCAUCAGCUCAUUUGAAGAAGAAAACAUGGAGAAAAGGGGAAAAAAAAGAGAGGGUAGAGAGAAAGUGCCCCGGAGAUGAAAUGGAAGCAGGAGAGAAAGAGAUUAAAUGAUAAAAUAUUAAUUGAUAUGAAUAAAAUAAUAUAAUAUUAGAUUGAUUGUGUGCCAGUGCAUUUUUAGGAGUGGAGAUGUUUUGGCAUAUUACUAUUUAUUGGAGUCUAUUACUGUUUAUUUGAGUGGAUAAAUGCGUUGGGCGCUGGCAUCCAGUCUUAGGGGUGGAAUUGCUCUAACAACCCAGAACAAGAGCACCCAGAUCCUAGUCCCCACCGACCCAUCUCAAUUGCACGGGUGUGGAUUUUCGGCGAUAUGAUCAGGACCAAAGCGACCAAAUCCGAGUCCGUGCGAUUCAGGUGACCCUAGCACUUACUGCCAGGAGAGGAGCCUGAAGAUUUGGAUGAUUACGAAAAGUGGAAUUGGGUUUGAUUUGGAGAAGGGUGAAAGAAAUCGAGAGGCUUUUCGAAGAAAACGGAGAUAACAUGGACUUAGCGCUGUUAAGGUGUUCAAGUGCGUGGACAGCUGUCAUGUUUUAAGAGAGGCCGCAGUUGCACAGGGUUUGAACUUUAGGUCCAGCAAAUCAUUGUUCUCAUCAUAUUAUUUUCAUUUGUUUGUCAAAAUUACCCCUCAAUUAACAUUAUCCUUUAAUUCUAGAUUUACUUGUAUUACGAAAUUAAUUAUAAUUGAUUAUUUAUCAUUAAAAGUAAAGGAAAACUAAUGAAAAGAGCUUGAAAACUUUGAGUUUUAAUGAUAAUGACAAAAUAAAGGGUAAAAUGAAUAGUACCAAGUUUGACUUUUUAGUGUAAAAAUGUGAUUUUUUCGUUAAAAUGAACAGUACUGUGGGCUUUUCGUUAAACCUCUCUAAAAGUAAUCCCUUAAUUGUGGGAUUAGUUUUAAACAAUAUUAUCUCCUCCCAAAUAAAUUCCGUACUACUAGCCUAUUUUGCAUCGUCUUCAUCUUCCUCUAUUCCAUCUUUUUAUUUUCCUCGUCCUUCACUAAUCUCUUUCAGAGUUAUUUUUUCAUCUUCAUACACUUAUCAUAUUUGUUAUCAUAUGAGUUAAUGUUUUUUUAUUUGAAAGUGGGUAGAUUAAGGCAUUCGAAACUUCAAAUUUAAGGAAUUUAAAUAUAUUUUUAUCUUUUACUCUAAGAAACAAAACGGGCAUAAUAAAAAAUAAAAUGAAAUUGGACUUAAUCCGAAAGCAGCUGAAUUUUUUGGACAUGGAGUAAAAUGCCCAAAAAAAAAACAAGGCGUAUUCAUAUGUUCGUCCUAUUAAAAACAAAAUCGUAAGGAUCUCAGAGAAGAGAGACCAAAGUUGGAACUCAAUUCUGUAGGUACGAACUGGUAUCAAUUAGGGUUUAUUCCUGACUAGAUUUUUUGACUAGUGAAGCAUGGUUGAUUUUAUUGGUUUCGAUAGUGCUCAUAUAUAUUAUGCUUUCACUUCAUUCAUUUUAUGAACAAAUAAGAAUAAGAAUAGAAAACAUGUAACAACUUCAAAAAACUAAUAAACAUAAAUACCUUUGCCACCAAUGGUACACCUGCACAUUUUUUGGCGAUUUCCCUUCCCAUUCGCUCUUGAUCUUCGGUCACGGAAGCACUCCCAUUCCGAAAUGCCCUAUCCUUUAAUAUGCGCCAACAUUCGUCAUCCGAUAAUUUUUCCAAAUCACGCCUGGAAAGUGUUUCCACAAUUGAUGCAACACUAGCACUGCGGGUAGUGACAAGGAUGCUGCUUCCUUGGGUAUCUUCAACACUUGACAAACAACUCAUCAAAUCAUUCCAUUUAUGAGAAUCCUCAUUCCAGACAUCGUCGAGAACGAGAAGAUAUCGCUUUCCUUUCAAAUCUUCUUGGAGAUUUUCACAUAUUGUCGCUUUACCCUUAAUCCCAGCCUUUUCCGGUUUAAUCUUUUCUAAGAUCCCGCUUAAAAUCGCCGUGACAUUGAAAGGAGUAGAUACACAUAUCCAUAUUUUUGUAUCGAACCGUCCUAUCUCGGGAUGAUGAUAAACUGAUUUAGCCAAAGUUGUCUUGCCCAGGCCUCCCAUUCCCACAAUGGCCAUAACCGAAAUAGAAUUCUCCUUAUUGUUGCGGGAAUUUAUCAGGGUUGUAGCUAUCUCCGACACAGCCUCCUCCCUUCCAACAAUGUACUUCUCAUCUGGAUCAAAGACAGAGCCGGUUACCCUGUUGUCAGGUACUCUUAUACCAUCAUGAGACGUUGCAUCCAUUGUUUUCGUGUCAACUAGCCCCAAACCAGUUGCCUCCUCCCUCAGAUUGGCCAACAAUGCAUUGAUUUUCUUGAUUUUGCGUCCCAUAUUGUGUCGAAACGCAAUGGGAUUGUGGUGUGAAAAGAAGUUGAGCACCUUUUUCUCCAUUCGGUUUUCAAGUUCCACCUGACGCCGGAGAACUUCGUAUUCGUAUUCGUCCAGCACUUGAUCAGCAGCUUGAGCUACUUCUUCAAGAUUCUUCACCCAAAUUUGCACCGCUUCGCCCCGAUUCUGCGAAUGCUGGGCCGCAUCUCGCAGCAUAGCUUGAAUCUUGAACAAUGAUUGCCGCAGCCGUGCGACUUCUCCUUUGAAUCCCCAGAGGAGACUGAAUUCUUGCUCGGCUAGUGAAGCCACCCUAGUCAGUAUCCCCUCGGCAGCAAAAGUAACAAGUUCUGCCAUCUUUCCUUGCAAACUAUUGAACUCGAAGAAGACAGUGAAUAAUCUCAGUUGAGAAAAACCAACAAGAAGACUGAGGGUAGUUUACAACAUGGAAUUAUUGAAUUGAAUAAUUGUGAACUCACAUGCUUCACCGGCCCCACAGGCUUGAGUUCACAACAUGGAAUUAUUGAAUUGACUUAUUACAGCAUGGAAUUAUUGCAUUGAAUAAUUGUGGGUUGGCCCCAGCACGUGGGUUGUCUGCACAAGAGGUAGAACCAAAAAGAACAAAAUAAGAAGAAUGACUAAUUGUCCACUGAAUUAUUGCAUUGAAUAAUUGUGGGUUGGCCCCAGGAACAAAAUAAGAAGAAUGACUAAUUGUCCACUGCAUUAUUGCAUUGAAUAAGUGGGUUGGCCCCAGCACGUGGGUUGUCUGCGCAAGAGGUAGAACCAAAAAGGACAAAAUAAGAAGAAUGCCAAUUAAGCGCAUAGGUAGGAAGAAGAUUGAUGAUGUUGACGGCUACAAGGGCAGCUUCAACCCCGAAUUCAUGAGUGUGGAGUAAGGUCCGGAUUGAAGUGGCUAUAUACGAUGAAGCUUAUGUUCGGCAAGCUCAUUAUGUUAAGGAUUAUGGAGGCAUGAGUAGCGCUAGGGGUGGGUUCAAAAAACCGAAAACCGAAAAAAACCGAAAACCAAACCGGUCCGAGGCCAAAAAAAACCGAACCGAAACUGUCAAACCGAACCGAACCGAAUCUGGUCAGUUCGGUUUCGGUUUUUGAGGUUCGGAAACCGAACCGAACCGAUAUAUAUAUAUUUAAUUAUUUUUUUCAAUAUUAUAAAUAGUUUAGUCAUACAAUCAUAACAAAACAAAACCUGUUGCCAAGUUGGUUUCAGGGAAAAUUUUCAAGUUGCAGCGCAAGGGUUCGAACCCUUAUGCCUCCAACAUUUCAGAAAAGUUUUUUAAUUUUUUUGAGAAAUCAACAAAACCCUUUAAGUUAACCCUAGCCACUAGCAGCCACACCUUUUAUUCAUUCCCCUCUUCUCUCUCUCGUUCCCUUCCCUGCCUCCAGUGUAACCCUAACCCAGUAACCUUCUCGUGCAGCCGAGCCUCCUCUCUGUCUUUCUCAAACUCUCUGUCUCUCUUGGUCUUGAAUCCCAGGCGACCCGCGACGGCGCGACCCUUCUCACUCUCAAUCUCUCACACCUCGCCCUCGCCGUGAGCUUCUUCUUGCCGUUUCGAGCCCCAAAAAUCAAACGUCGCGGCAAACAGGCGCUGAAAAAUGGAUGGGGGGAGUUCCGGCGCUGCUUCCGACGCUGCAAUCGAAACCCUAUGAACCAGAGGAUGGUGCUUCGGCGACCUCGAACAAGUGAAGGCGAUGAUCCUUAUCCACUCCGCCUUGUCCGAUGACACGCGUACUGUGGUGGAUUCGGUGGAGUUGGAGCUCACCAACAUGGACCUCAAAUCCAUCUCCUCCAGGUCCUUGCCCGACCCGCAUACCCUCCGAAAGUCCUCUCACCUCCUCGGCCCCAAAGUCCUCCAGGUAUUGACUCCUCACAAGUUUUUCUUUCUGUAUGUUUACAUAUUCUUUUUUCUGUGUGUGUCGAACUGGUGGUUAAACAUGAGAUUUUUUAUAAAGUACAUACUUAUAUCUGGUGGUUGGACUAUGUGGUAUUCAAUUUUGUUCUGGAUUCUCGAGGAAGGUAGACCUGUUUAGUAGCAUACUGCUUUUAUGUAACAUAUAGCUAAGAUUUGUGCUGAAGCAAUGUUGGUGAAUCAGAAAAAGCUUUUGCAGUAUGGUGCUAAAUUUUUACUUUUACAGACAGUAAUGAUGAUCUGAUAAGGAAAUUUUAGCACUUGCAAAGGAACAUAGUGAUAGUAUAAGCAUGAGCAACUCUUGUUGAAGUUUUCUGGUUUAAGAGACCAAGAAACGCUUUUAAAUUCUGAAAUUCUAGUCAUUAACAUUAUGUAAAUUAGUUAAAGUUUUCGUAUUGAAUUUGAAUGCCAUUUCCCUACUUGCCCCUGUUUUGGGAUCAGAACUCACUUGUUCCAGGCUUGUACCGGUGAUAGUCACUGGCACUGCAUCAAAAGACAGGUAUAGAUUAGAAGCUAUUAAGUUAAACUACGCUUUUUGUUUGAUUUAGUUUGCACGGUAGGGCUGAGAAUUUCUUCUUGUAGGGUACCAAACAUCAAGUUCAAUGUGGCUAAGGUGUUGCAGUCGAUUAUUCCGAUAGUUGAUCAGUCAGUAAGUAAUAUAGAUCUUUUCAUUUGAUAGUCCUUACGCAAAGGAGCAUAAUUUUCAAAAUACAAUACUGAAAUCGAGUUAAAGCACUGAAAGCACUUAUGCGUAACACGCUUUGCACAUGUGGUGGAGAAAACUAUUCGUCCUUGUUUGCUUGAGCUUAGUGAGGACUCACACCUCAGUACAACAUAAACCUGAUGUUUAUGCCCAAACAAAUAUCUAUGACGAGCAUCAGCGAUCACAAUGGGCAUGGCGUGUGUGUGUUGUGUUAUGUUGAAUAACCAAAAAAGGAUGACUCUGAAGUGACUUUGAAUGUAAACUUUCAUAUUUUCAAUUUUUUUUAAAAAUUUUUGGAGGAAGAAAAAAAAAAAAACCGAAAAAAAACCGAAUCUGAACCGAAAAAAACUGAAAAAAUUUGAACCGAACCGAACCGAAAUUUCGGUUCGGUUUUGAUUUUGGGAAAAAACCGAACCGUUGAUAACCGAACCCAGCCCUAAGUAGCGCUGCUCAAUGCUUAACUCAUGACAAAAAGUAGAAAAAUGAUUGACUAACACACUUAUUAUCAUUUUGAAGAACCUGAAUAGCAGCAUGAAAAAUAUUGCGAACCAUAGCCACAAAGGUUUUAAAGUGAUCAAGAUUUCCGAUUUUUGUUCCUUGGGAUAGAUAAAGGAGUAGCGGAAAAUUUUAACAGUGAAUAAAACAUAAUAACGAAACCACCAAAAGAAAUAAAGUAAUAGAGGAUAAAUCUUAUCCUUACAUUGGCCUUGAAAAAGCAAGAAAUUAGCACGCAAGCCAUAAAUUUGAUAGAAAUUAGGAGGAAAACAAAAGGGAAAAUUAGGUUCACAUCCUUUUUUUUGUUACUUCAUUGAUUAAAAUCCUAUUCAUUUUCAAUUUUUGAUCAAGGUCCUUGGGUAUUAAUAACAUCAUUAAUUAUUUGAAUAAUAAAAUAUUUUUAUUUUUAAAUAUAUUCCUUUAAUGUUAAAAAUGUUACAAUUAGUAUAUUUAUAUUUAUGGCUAAAUUUUUAUCAUAUAUUAUCAUUAAUUAUUUGAAUAAUAAAAUAUUUUUAUUUUUAAAUAUAUUCCUUUAAUGUUAAAAAUGUUACAAUUAGUAUAUUUAUAUUUAUGGCUAAAUUUUUAUCAUAUAUUUUUAUUUUUAGUUUGUACCUAUUUUUAAUUUGCAAAUAUUUUUUAAUUUGUACCAAUUUUCUUUUCAUUUUUAAUUUGUACCCAUAUAUAAGUUUCCUUUUGUGCUCAUAUUUUUUAAAAUUUUAUUUGUGUUUGUACCCAUGUGUAUACCGUCACGUGACAUUGUAAAUUUAAUCAAUAAUAGAAAAAUUUCAUAUGGUAUAUUUAUGUUUUUAUGCCUAAACUUUGUAUCAUAUAUUUAUAUUUUUAGUUUGUACCCACUUUUAAUUUGCAACAUUUUUUUUUUAAAUUUGUAGUAUUUUCUUUUUAGUUUUAUUUUGUACCCAUGUAUUAAUUUCUUUUAGCGCCUAUAUUUUUAAAAAUUCAUUUGUAUUGAUAAUUUUUAAUCUUUUAUCUGUACUCUAAUUUAUUUCUAAUGUGCCCAUUCUUCUUUAUUAAUGUACCACUUUGUUAUAUGUGAAAUGUACCAAUUUUUUUGUAAAAUGUACCAAUUUUUUUAACACUAUGGAUACAUUCUUUUGCCAUUGAUUAUUUCUUAUUUUUACAUAGUUUUUAUCCAUUUAUUCAAUCAAAAUGUUUGAAUUUGUUUAUUGUAACCAUUUCUAAUAGUAUUAUAAUGAGAGAUUUUAAAUUUAUAGGAUUAUAAAUCUCAUAAAAUAUCAAACAAUUAAUGUCAAAACUAUAAAAAUAUAAAUAUUAAUAGUAAUAUAAUGAGGUGUACAAAGUCAAGGGACUUUGAUCAAACUUUGAAUACUAUUAAGGUUUUAAUCAAAGAAUGUUAAGGAUUAGGGAUCGCAUCCAAAAUAUCCCAAAACAAAACGAACAAAUUUUUUUUAAGUAAAGCGGUCAACAGAGAGAAGAUGUUUUCGAAGUUCAAAAAUAAGAAAGACAUUGCGGGAAUGAAAUUUGGUGGGACUAAAAGUGAGAGGAACGGUAGUAGUAUAGUUAAUAUUCAUUGUUUCAAUUAUCCAAUUAAACAUUGGUCGUACCAUUGUAAAGUUUAGUAGCCGGAAGAUGGAAGAUGGAAGAUUGUCUGGUCAUAUGCUGAGUGGCGCUGAUUUCAAAAAUUAAAUUGGAUCAGACAGGGAAACAAAGUGGGUGCCGACUAAUUAAGGGAGGGUCCGUAUGAAUUUCACUAUUAUAAUUUACAUAUUUGUAUUAUUGAGAUGUUAUAUUAUUUCUCGAGAAUUUAUUUGAAUUUAGAUUUUAAUUAAACUAGUUACGAAGUUUGAAGUUUGGAAAUUAAUUAUUUAAAAUCCGUAGACCUUUCGAGGUCACAAUUUAUAUUUUCGAAUAGAUCUCGAAACCACGAACGUUUAGGCGAAAGCCGUUUGCAAGUCCAGGUUAUAACGGUAUAGUUACGGAUGUUUGAAGUUGUAUUACUAAACUAUAGAUUUUAGAAAUUAUUUAAAUUCCCACUUUGAGGGAAAAAGCCCAAUGAGGUAUGUGCUUUUGUGGCCAAUCAGAAAUAAAGGUUGAAGGGCGGACCAAUCAGAAACAAGAAAGAAAGAAAAAAAAAAACUAAUGAAAAUGGCUUGAAAACUUUGAGUUUUAAUGAUAAGGACAAAAUAAAGGGUAAAAUGAAUAGUACCAUGAUUGACUUUUUAGUGUAAAAAUGUGGUUUUUCGUUAAAGUUCCCAAGAAAAAAAGAAGGGGAAAGGAGAGAAAGGAAAGGAAGGAGGAACCGGCCAAACCCGACCCGGUUGAUUUUCCGGUGGAAAUCCAUCAAUUUUCAGACAAAUUGAGAGGUUCCACCCCCACCAAUCAUCAUUACGUUACUCUAUCUUCAAUUUUCCACCUUAAUUCGAGCGGAUUUGGUUUCGUUUCAUGAUGAAUUGUGUUGUGGGUGUCCCGAAGUCACAGAGGCGGCAUCUGCCAUUUCUGCAAGCUCCACCAUCGAUCAUUACCAUCUUUCAGCUCCUCAUGAGGCCAUAAACAAAGCCCAAGCAACUGUAUGGGUGGCGGAGCCCUGGAGGUGCUAGAUCGAAGACCACCUUUUCUAGGGUUUCCGGCUGAUCGAGGCUAUUUCCGGCCACUUCCCAGCUGAACUAGGCUUCAGCCUAGGCAUGAAAAAUGUUCCUCUCCUUGAGUUUUGCAUUUUUACAAAAUUUGGUAAUUUUUGGAAUUAGUUGAAUUUUCCGGCGAGUCGGGGCGGCCAACCGCCACCCGCGGCGGCUCGUGGCCAGUGGGCUAACUAUGUCUUUUUAAGUACUAUUAGAUGCCCUGGGUUCAUGUUUGAUAUUCGUAUGACGUAAUUUGAUUGUUUGAACUUAGUUUCAUUACGAUACAUUACUUGAUCAAAAUAUAGGAAUUGACGAUCCGACCGUUGGGUCGUCACCAAACUUUAAUACGUAAUAAUACGUAAUAUUUGAGGACCAUAGGAACUGACAGAUCGGGAAUUUGACCUACAGAUCUUCCCAAAUUGGAUUUCUAAGUUUGUAAAAUAAAUUGUUAACUGCCACCUAACCUAGUAAUUGGCGGAGAUCUGACCGUUUGAUUGUGAUGAAAUUUUAGCAUGUUGUUUUAGAAGCAUAAUGUAGACCUUAGGAGAUUACGAAUCUGAAAUCCGAUGUGCAGAUCUUCCGGAUUAGUUUGCUAGGGUGUGGACCCCACUGUUGACUGAGAGUUGACUUUUGGUCAACAUGUUUGGAACCAUUUGAAUUACUAAAAUUAGUAUUACUAAAGACUCAGUGAGGCUUUACGUACUUGUCUCGGCGAGUGACUAUGUAUGUGAUAUGGUUAUUACCCUGUUUUCUUAUAUUAGUAUCCUUUGUGGAUAUGGCAUGGUUUUAUAAACGUGUUUUCUAUUAAAAUGUGAUUUUUAUAAUUGGCCAUCGAUCUAUUUUUGUCAAAUGUGAUCUGAUUCAUGGAUUGGAAUUAUUUGUGAAAUUUGAAGUGCAUAUUGAAAUGUUUGUUAAACAUGAGGGUUAGUGGAUGACUGUUACCUUAGUAUCACGGGGUUAGGUGACAUCGAGUCUACACCAUGUAGUAGUGGUACAUGGAUGGUCCUGCUUGGUUAAUCCGCAUUGGGGGACCAUACUAUUUAUGGAUCGCGCUUGGUUAAUUCGCAUUGGGCCAUCCUUAUGGCCAUUUAUAUUUAGGGGUGAUCAUUCUUGGUUAAUCUGCGUUGGGGGGUCACUAGUGAUCCUGCUUGGUUAAUCCGCGUUGGGGGACCAUACUAUAUAUGGAUCGCGCUUGGUUAAUCCACGUUGGGCGAUCCUUAUGGCCAUGUAUGCUUAGGAGUGAUCAUGCUUGGUUAAUCCGCGUUGGGUGAUCACUUCCUAACAGCUGUAGGAGUGACUAUGCUUGGUUAAUCCGCGUUGGGGGGUCACUGCCUACUUGAUUACUUUCUCAAGGGUAGCUCUGCUUGGUUAAUUCGCUUUGUGGGGCCACUUCCUGUUUGGUUACUUAUGUAGGCUUUAGUUUAACUGCGUCCCUCUAGCCCUAGUUUUUAAUGUACAUAUGAACAAUGAUUUUUUAAGAAUCUUGUGGUUUGAAUUAGAAAAACCGUUGGAUGUCUGGGUGACUCUUACGGAGUUUUCAGCAACUUGAUUAUGAUUCCAUAAAGCAUGAUUCUAUACUUGAUGUUUAUAGAUUGUGAUCGAUGGUUUGUUUUUAUUGAAUAUCACGUACUUGUAUGAUUGUCACUCACUCGAGCCUCACAUCUUAUCUGAGUGCCUGAUUUGCCCACUGUACCAUUCCCAUAAUGUAGGCAUUGAUUUUACAUGUGACACGUCUAGGUAGAUUACGAGAAACCGCUUGAUAUUUUGGUUCCGUUAAGUGGUCCGGAACCCGAUAUUGUUGGAUUCCGUUGAGUGGUCUGGAAUCCUUGCUCUUGCUCAUUUCUAUAAAGUUAUCUUAGAAUCCUAGAUUCAAGUGAAUAGGGAUUACCCACAUUUAACCUUGUGAAUUUAUAUACCAUGUUAUUACUCAAAUCCAAGCAGGGAAGUAUAUAGAGCUCUUUAAUUAAAUUCGUGAAAUGAUUUGUUAUCUCAUUGAUUGAUUAACAUAGUUAAAAGUCAAAAUCGUGCAUCUUUGAUUCAUGAAUUGAUUAAGUAACGGGAUUUUGGAAUGACGUUAGAUAUGAUUGUUAUUAGUAUGAUUAUUUUAGUUGAUCAAUGUGGCUAGAAAAUAAUAUUGUGCUUGUUGAUUCUUUAAUAUGUGACAUGCUAUGUAUUGUAAUUUUAUGUGGGGAAACUUGAUGAUUUAUGCGAUGGGUGAAGUGGAGAUAUUAAUGGUCAUGUGGGAUUGUUAUGUAAUCUUGAAACUAGUAAUUUCAUGCAUGAUGAGUUCUAAUAAUUGAUUGAUGAGUGCUAUGAUUUUCCACUUAAACGUACUGUGAUAAAAGUUGAGGGAAGUGUUUGGAUGAACUACGAAUGUCUUGAUCCCUUCUUAGGGUACGUAGGAAGUCUAACGAGGAAGUUAGAUGCAGUCAUAAAGUAUACAAAAAAUUAUUAUGCAUUUGGUUCUCGGGUUGUGCCUUGUCCAUAUCUCAUAGGUGCGGUAUGUUAGAUAUAUAGAUACUUGGUGAAGUCACGUGUCGAUUCUGACCGUAUGUUGAGAUCGGGGUGUGACAAUCCGAGUCGAGUCUAUGAAACUGGUGCGGGCAAGAGGCUUGGUUGUGUUGUGAGGUGGUACAAGUGUAACACCUAGGGGGACGCCACAAGGCUCGUUGUUGUCAUUGAGAGGCAAAGGGAGGGCCAUGCAUAACAAGUCGAAGACACCAUAAAGAAAAGAGGAGAGUCAUGACAAAAAAUGCAAAAAACUAAGUCGUUUAUUACGAAGAAAAAUCGCAACUCACAUGGCGAUAGGUCCCAAUAGAUUGUGUGGAUAUCCAGACUAUCUCGGAUUGGACUAGUUGCAGGGACUAAGCUGGACUGGCUUAGACUAUACUAAAUUGGACUAACUUAGUAAAGCGUUUGGUGCAGUGUCACGACUAAGGAACAAACUAAUAACAAAUUCCAAUAUUAUAUUAUUUAAUUCAUAUUUAUUAAUAUUUUACAUUAUUUAAUAAAUAUUUAGUAAUAUUUUAUUAUUACUUCUGUCUAUUUUCUCAUUCUAGAAACCUUCCCGUUCAUCCCCUCUUUCUUCCUUAAUUUUCUCCGCCUUUCUUCCUCUGUUUUCUUCCUAAUUCUUCUUCGUCCCUCUCCCUUGUUUUUUUUUUGUCCCUCUCCCUCUUCAUCUCCAUCUUCUUCUUUCGUUCUCCAUUCAUCUCCCUAUUUUCUUCCUUUUUGUUCUCUGUUCAUCUCCCUCUUUUGAUGAAAGAAACUAACGUCAAAAUUAAACCCAGAAGUUGUUCAUCUCCCAACUUCAUAAUCGACUGCAAAUCUUCACAAUCAAACCACAAAGCAAGAAAGAGAUUGAAAAUUUAGGAGUUAGGAGCAGGUUGCAUGUGCGCUUGGCCCGAAGGUAGAAGAUGGGGGUUGGAUCUGGUUUGUGUUUUCUGAGUUUUUGGUUUUCUGGGUUUUGUGAUUGAAAAUUUCAAGCUCACGUCACUGCAGAUUUUUUGGGUUUUUGGUUUUCUCGGUGUUGUGUGAUUGAAAAUUUCAAGCUCAUCUCACUUUCAGAUUUUUUUUUUUUAGGUUUUCUGAUAUUUUGGGUGUUGGAUGUGGUUUUGAAAAUAGAACGUUUGCAGAUUUUUCUUCUAGUUUGUUUCGGUUUUUCCAGAUCUGGUCUUGAAGAUGGUUUUAGGAAGCGAGGAUGAAGCAUAUGGAUGUGCGAAGCGGAAGGGGGAAGCUAAGGUCUUAGCAGUCCGCCCGAUUUCGAGGGGUCUCGCUAAGCCCUUUUAGUGAAGUGUUUAGUCCAAUUUAGUCGGGGCGAGUCCCAUUAAAGUUAGGCCCUUCCGUAAACAAACACAGGAUUAGAUUAAAAGGUAAUCAUGUCCAGUCUAGUGAGAGCUAAGGAGGGCAAUCAAACACACCCUAAGUCAAUAAAGGCUACUGUGAUUUUAUUUUUUGUUUUCUUGGUAUGAAAAAAGCCCCAUAAUAAGGUUUUGGAUAGAAAAUGAUAUGACUAGACCCUUAGACGUUGUCAUAAAGAAAAGAGGAGAAUCAUGACAAAAACCUUAAAAACUAGUGAGAGUACCAUAAGUGAAUAAUAUCAUAAGUCAAUAGAGGUUGCUGUGAUUUGAUUUUUUGUUCUCUUGGUGUGAAAAAGUCCCACAAGAAGGUUUUUGACAGAAAAUGAUAUGAUUAGACCCUUAGAUGUUGUCAUAAAGAAAAGAGGAGAAUCAUGACAAAAACCCUAAAAACUAGUGAGAGUAUCACAAGUGAAUAAUACCAUAAGUCAAUAGAGGCGGCUGUGAUUUGAUUUUUUUUUCUUGGUGUGAAAAAAGGAUUAAGAUUCUCUCUCCUCCUUUUUCCAUCUCUUUCUAUUCCCUCUUUUCACAUUCUUUAUGUUGCAUGUCUCUUUCUAUAAAAUGUUAACAUGAUUUAACCAUGAUUGUUCAAAUAGGAAGAGGAAAGAGGAGAGAAAAAAACGAAGAAAAAAAAAAGGAGAGAAUCCUUCUCCGUGAAAAAGUCCCACAAGAAGGUUUUUGACAGAAAAUGAUAUGACUAGACCUUUAGACACUGUCAUAAGAGCAAAUCCACCCCUAAAGACUUUGCGCCAGCACCCAGCGCAUUUAUCCACUCAAGUGAACAGUAAUAGACUUCAGUGAACAGUAAUAGGCUAAAGCAUCUCCGUCCCUAACAAAAAAUAGCCUAGUCAAUUUUAUUAAAAUAUUAUUAUUAUUAUUAUAAAAUAAUAAAAAUAAUAAUUUUAUUAAAAAAAAAAGAGGAAAAGUCAGGAACCUCCACGGUUCCACUAGAACUCUCUCUCUAUACUCUCCCUCUACAUCCCCAAACACCAAACGCCACUCCCGACGCCAACUUGCUUCAACCUCCAUCUGCAUCUCUCUCUCUCCCUCUUUGUUGGGCGGAGCUCUGCAAAAACCCACCACCCUAUGUAAUGAUAAUCCCACCGGAUUCCAACUUUCCUUCCGGUUCACAAUCCCCAAUCUUUAUUCCUUUACAAUUUUCCAACAAUUUUGCCUAUCAAAUUCCCUAUCAAUCCAACCCCACUAACCCAAUUUGAUCUUUUCCUCAACCGGUGGUUCCUUCGGCAGUAGCUGCCGCGGAUCCAGCCUGUCACCCGCCCGGCACCAACCCGUAUGACAAUUCGGGCUGGUACCCGUGGACCCGUGUUGGAUUCCGAGGUCAGACGCCGUUUGGUGAAGGCCCCGAAAUCUCCCUCCGCCCCAGAAUCAACCUCAGCCCCGAGGAGUUUUGCGAUGUGUUGAUCGUGGGAGAGGUUGAUGGCCCGGCUGACGUCAGAUGGCCCGGCAUGUGGGUCUGUUGAUUUUAGGCUGGUCUUUUGCCUGGCUUGGGCUAGGUGCCGGGUUGGUUUUUUGGCUAGGUGCUGGCCUAUCAGUUCCCUGGUGGAACUGCUCUAAGAAAAGAGGAGAAUCAUGACAAAAACCCAAAAAACUAGUGAGAGUACCAUAAAUUGAAUAAUACCAUAAGUCAAUAAAGGCUGCUGUGAUUUGAUUUUUUUUUUUUUUUUUUAAGUUAGGAGGCAUAAAUUGAAUCUAGAGGAGCAUCUAAGCCAUACGAGAGAAAUUGAACCAAAAAAAAAAAUAUUACUAAUGGGAGAAAAAAGGUUCAUUUUUGUAGUGCAAUAAAACAAUUUAGUUAAAAGAAAGUAAUGAAGUCACAAUUUGUUUUUGUUAAGAUAAUUAUAUCAUAAGCACCAAACUUCUUUAUAAAUUUCUACAUUGAAGUUGAAUAAAAAUGAAUAAUUGUGGCUUAAAACUGCAGCUAUGAAAAUUGUCUUUAAGAUAAAAUUUUCCUCUAUUUCAUAUAUUCAUGGUUUCACUACAAAACAACUAUCUGUCAUGCAAAAUAGUGAACUAAGAAAGGCUUGUUGAUGUAAGGCUUUUGUUUCAUAACAAUACUACUGUAAAACAAUUUUUUUUUUUUUUGUCAUUUAGAAAAACACAAUAAAGCUAGAUGAGAGCAAAAACACAUAAGUCGAAGAAUGCAGAGUAUCCAACCAAAAGGAUACAAACAUAAAUUACCAAAUGGUUAGAUCCUUAAACGUUGUCCUAAAAUAUUUUUGUGAAUAUUUUAAAAAACAAAAAAAAUUAAAAAUUUUGACACUGAUUUUUUUUUUUAAUUAUUAUUAUUAUUUUUUACAAAAAAACGUAACUAGAAUGCCUUCAUUAGUCGAAGGGUUUCUAGUUCAUCUCAUUCCCAACAUUAUAUGGACACGCUUGAUAUGGGGAGGAUUGGAAACCAUCCUUGUUAGGCCACUUCACUAAUUUUUUGGUAAUUUCCCAAAAUAAUCCAACAACAACAACAAGUAAUUCACAAAAAAUAAACAAGUAAUUCACAAAAAAUAAACAAGUAAUUUGUGCAAGUAUAUGAUAUAAAUAUUAUUUAUCUAUGAGUGCAGUUGCACAGCAGCACACCAGCAAGGAAUAGAUACACGUGCGUGGGACAAGUUUCCACUCAAAAUGUCCAAUGGGCUCCACCAUUUUUGUCCCUAUACUAUCCUAUGUGUAGGGACUUAUCUUAUGCAUCUGAUGUGUGAAAUCCUGUCCCCGGAUUUCACUAAGUUUACUUUUGAUAAAUACCUUUCUUGAAUCAUGCAAUUAAAUGCAUUAUAAAAUAAGCAAUGAAAAGGGUCUCAAAUAGCUAAUUUUAAAUAAGAAAAACACUUAGUAAUAUAAAUCUCUAAUAUUAGAAAGCUAGAAUAUAUAUCUAAAGGGAGAAGGCAAAAAUGUUGGAACUUUCAUAAUAAAAAUUACCUUUCUCUAAAAAUAAAAAGAAUCACAAAAAAUACCCACGUAAUAGGACUAGGGGUGGUUGACACACCCCGAUCUUAGAAUCAAGGGGUGCUAGCCGUCACGUGAGCGCGACGUAACCAAAAGUGCGAUGCGGAAGCAAGAAGAUACGAGAAAUACGAAGGAAUAAAAACCAACUACUAGCAAUAACAACCAACUAGUAUGCUAGAGUAAGUUUAAGUGUGAAACACACAAAUUCAGAGCAUAAAUACUAGGUGCAGUCAAGUAGGACUAUAACUAAAAUACAACACCCGCAGGUGAGUCCUACAUGCAAGAAGUCUGUCAGAACGCCGUGGAAAUAACCUCGUGAGCCACCAACUGCUAACUAGAACCUGGAGGGGCGCAAAAUAAGAUUGAGUGGGUCAGUAAAACAAAGUUUUUUGAAAACAUUUCAAAUAAUAACAUUUCUAACCCCUCGCUGUAAAACCUGUAUACUUUCCCAGAAAAUAGUAUAUAUAUAUAACCAUAUAUAAUCUCAAAACUCAAGUCACAAGUCUUUAACACUUUUCAAGAAAACAUGUCAUGCUAUGCAUCAAAACAUAAUAAGGAUGCAACAUUAUAACAGGUGAAAUAAGGAAUCAACCGGAGACCCUGCAGUUGGUCCUGUACGGUUAAUUCUGUAGCUCAAUAUCCAAACCAACCGGAGUCACCACUGUGACAUGGACGACACUACUCUGCACAUAAGUCGGAACUACCUAAAGUAGUCUGUACGACAAGAAUGGUGUAAGAAUAUGCUCUAGUGCUUCUCCCAUCAACAGCUGUAUAAUAAUCUAAAGUCACAUACAAGUCGGAACCUUUUCAUGGUCUGUACGACAUGCACCUACUUGGAUCCAAGGUGAGCGUGUGGUGCGAGGUGAAUAAUAUAAGCACUAACACCAGAGGUGCAGGUUUGAGCUUUCAAUACAAUUUACAUCAUCACUAAAUCACAUGAAUAAUAUAAACCUCACAUGAUACUCACCUGUGCGUCCACAGCACCAUUUAACAUAUAUAUGCAACAAUCACUAAUUCAUAUAUUUCAUAUAUAUGUAUGCAUGACAUUUUAAAACAUACUUUCAUUUAAAUUCAAUUUCUGGGAAAAAUCAAUAGUAUAUAGGUAAAUAUAGAAAAUACUGCCCACUCACUAGUAAGUCGAAGGGUCGUAGCCCCCGUGACGCCUUUGGAUGCGCUCGUCCUUGUGAUAGGUAUCACCUAUAUGCGAAAUAACUAUAAAAACGUUAUUUAAAGCACAUAACCAACAAUACGUAAUAACUUCUCAUACGAUGCUCAAAUUAGGUAUAUGAAUAUACCACAGUGACCUACUCGACGUCACGGACGUCGAGGUAUUUUUAGAAAAAAAUUUGGACGCCGCACGCGCCCCCAUGCGCCGGGAGGGGCACAAGUCUACGCGCCCCCACGCGCGUCGUCUUCUUCCUCCAGUCGCCGAACUGGUUUCGCCGGCGCCGGAAACUGGAGAUUUUUCAAUCUCCUUGUUCUCCAUCAUUUCUCAACCAUUUUCUACGCAUUUUAUAUCAAAAUGAAGCCCUAAGCAUGUAGAAUCACAUUACACUACUUUAAGGCUUUAAAAAUGACGAAAUCUCACCGGAGAAAUUCCAAGAAAACCGGCCAACUUCGAACCCUACGAUCCCUACGUCCAAAUCCUUCAAACUAGGUACUCCGGGCUUCCUUAGGACCUCACUAAGCUCACUAUGAGCUUAGAAUUCCCUGAAAAUCAACAAUUCACGUGUGCAUGAACAGUACUCAAAUCGGACCUCGAGUUUUCAACGUUAUAUCGAGGGUUCUAAGUUCUAAAAAUUGCACCAUUCGACUCAAAAGAUUGCAAGGAUGAAGAAACUCACCUUUUUGGCGUCGAUCCGUGAUAUUUUGAGGGUUUUGUUCUUUGUUCGUACAGUUUCGAGAGGGAGAGAGUGAGAGAACUGAGAAGGAGGAGAGAGAGAGAGCACGGGGAAGAGAGAGAGAGCUUGUCUCGUGUGUGUGUGUGGUCCAUCCCAAAACAAUCACCAUCCAAUUUUCUUAAGUCUCUAACCACACAAAAUACAUACAACCUUUAAUCCAAUUUAAAAUUUCCAAACUUAGGAAAGUAUGUAUUAUUUAAUAACACGUCACACACAUACCUUAGCAGCAGUUAAGGAAAAUUCCGUCAUUUCACGUCCUUAAUAAGUAGAAUCUCGGAACGGGCUGUGACAGUGGUUAUGUUCAUUAUUUUUCAAAAUAUAUUUAAUAAAAACAAUAUUUAAAAUAAGUAAAAUUAAAAAGAGUCAACUGUCACAUGCGUAUGCGUGUGGCAAGAGACUACCAUUUAUUAAUCAUAAGGACAAAAAUAAUACUAAUUAAAAACCUAAUAAUCUAAACUACAUAUUAAUAAAGCAUUGCUUGUCAACAAAAAAUAAAUAAAAUUACUACUAUACCCUUUAAUAUAAAACUGAAAAAAAAAUAUUUGAAAAUAAAACAAUGUGGGCAUUAAAGUAAUUUUAAACAAACAAAUUUUUUUUUUUUUUCCUAAAUCUCACAGUUAUGUCACUUUAGCAAUAUCCUCUCAACUCAUUCUCUCUCUUUCUCUCUCUCUCUUUCCUAACUGCCAACCUUUAUUUUUUGGGAUGCUUGCCAACCUGUUAAAAACAAGUAACUCUUCUCAUAAAAAAUAUAAAAAUAUAAAAAAAUAUUUCUCAACACACAAGGUGCGUGACCUUUGCAAGUCAGCCAUAAAAAUUAGAUGCGUAGGUCCCAUGAAAAAGGGGAAUUUUAUUCAGACCCAAUUAUCUUCUUUUUACACCCAACUUAUAAUUUUUAAUCUUGAAAUUCCGAAUUUGCCCAACAAUUUUCUUUCUACACCCAUAAUGAAAAAGAACAAAAAAAUUAAAAUAUAAAAUUCCAACACUAGAAAACCUGGAGAAAUUAUAGUGUAGUACAGUAAUACCACGUCAUCUGUGAUAUUUCCUUUCAAAAUUCGCCAUGUGUCAUGUUUUUACACAUGUGGAAUUUAAUCUCAUUUUUAAUCUUUAAAUAAGUUUAAAAAUGAAAAGAAAAAAAAGAACAAAAUAGAUCGUGUUCCUGAAGUUUUUGCCCCCUCCGACCCAAUCUGGUAAUCCUCUUCCACACAACGCCGCAUCUCUUUUCUUCACGAUUUGGGGAUUAAAAUCGAAAAUGAUCGGUAUCCGAAAGGAUGAGGACGCCGACUCCCAAGCGGUGUGAAGGCGUUUGGAAAUACAUGCAUCGUGGUUGAUGGGUUUGCUUGGCUGAGUCGGACUUAUCCAUUCAGCGUGGUUCUGGUUGAAUUUGGAGAGUUGGUAAAGAAGAAAACGGGAUUUGAUUUGAAGGUUAGACAAUUAGAUUCAAUUUUAGUUUCUGUAUGGUUGCGAAGAAAGUAUAAAAUUACAAUUUACUGGGUGGUUAAGGUUGGAAGGGAUAGGGUGGCUGAAAUUCCCUAUUGCUAAAUUAUUAUUAUUUUCUUUUUGUUUUUGUUGGGUGUAGAAAGAGAAUUAUUGGGCACAUUUGGAAUUUCAAAAUAAAAAAAUAAUAAGUUGGGUGUAGAAAGAGGAUAAAUGAGUCUAAAUAAAAUUUCCCCAUGAAAAAUUGAUGCGCAAAACAUGUCCAGGGGCUCACAGCCAAUGGCCAGAAAGCAACAAAAAAAUAAAUUGAAAAAUCUCAACAUGCCUCAAACCUAGCACCUAAGGUUAUCUCUAAUCGAAAUGGCUGAAAAUAGUUAUGUUCAAAAUUGUAUCCUAGCCAAAUAUUAUUUUUAAAUGAACAGUGUCAGAGCAUACUCAUAUAUCAUCUUCAAUCGAAGGGACUAAACACAACCUCCUUAAUAACUUAUUAGUUUUAAGUUUACACUUUAAAUUUAUUGGUUAAUUUAAUUAAACUACCGUUGAAUAUUUUCAAAUCUAGCCGUUAAUCUGAAUCAAUUACUGCAACUGAGUAGAUGGGCUCCAACAAAAGAGCUAAGUGGAGGGCGACAUUUGACGAGUCUUAUACUCCUUUAGCCAAAUAAUGUCCUUGUGGGCUCCUAGAAUUAUAGCACAGCCAAGACGUGCUACACGCCUACUUGUAUUUAGUUUGGAGAUGAGUUUUUUGACAAAUCAAAUCAUUUCAACCUUUAGUCAUCUUCAUUCAAAAUGGCCUAAAAGGAAACCAGCAAGGCUCUACCAAGACGUGCUACACGCCAACUUGUAUUUAGUUUGGGAUGAAUUUCAUUUUGUAUAAAAUAUCUUUGUCACCUAUAGUAAAAAAAAAAAAAAAUCGUAGCAAGCAUGGAACCUAGGACCUAGAAGGAAACCAACAAAACCAUACUCACGAGACCUUUUAGUGUACCUCAUAUGUCAUUAUAUAAGUGGAGGAACACUUAAAAAUUUUUUUUUUCUCUACUUGUAUUAUCAUAUGACGUACCGUCUAGUAUUUUAGAUACAUUGAAAAGCCUCUCAAUACCCACCAGGACUACACGCCCAAAGUGAUAAAUAUAGGAUAACUUUUACUUUAUAUAAAAAAUCAAAACCGUUACAGUAAUUAACCUCACGAAAUUAGCACUUUAUUACCUUUAAUUUUUUUCGUCUCGCUUUUAUACUGAAAAUCACGAUGUGCUCUCAAAAUCAUACUUUCGUUAGUCUAUCUAUUAAGUUCUCUAUUAAACAAUGACAUGACAGGCCUUUAACCCAUCAAAAAAUUUAAAAUUAUUCAAAAAUCAUAAAUCCUUUUUUUAUUACUCAAAAUAAUCACAAAUAUUUGAAAAAGUUAAUAAUCAUAAACAUUCUCUCGGACUACAUUGAAGAUUCCAUUCAACACUGACCUAAUCCCCUCGAUUCCGAUCUGGUUUGUCAGGCUUAUAUCAUCCUAAAGAUAUCACAGACUAUUGCUAUCCAGUAUUUUACUUUUGAUGGCUAAAAUUUGCUUUGUAACCAAUAACUCUCCCAACACUCUUAUUGCAGUACUCAAUAACUCUUCCGGCACUCUUAUUACAUCAUAUUGACCUUCUGACCUUUUAGGCAUUGGAGUGGAGGCCCCUUGACUAACACCAUAUUAGUGUUGGUCUAACUCUGUUUUUUUUUUUUUUUUUUUUUGUUUUUUUUGUUUUUUUUGUUUUUGUGUGUGUAGUUUUUAUUCCAAUUCAAUUACUGUGAAAUUUGUUCUUACAGUGGUGAUGGCAACAAUGGUGGUGGCAGUGGUGGUGCAAGGUUAAUGUUUAUAGUGAUAGGUAAUGAUAGUCACUUUGGAGAUAAGAUGUGUGUAGAAGGAUAAGUAAUGUCAUUUUUAAAAAUGUCAUAUGGGUAUUACAAGAAUUGAAAAUAUUCAUUGAAGACUCAACUCCCGUUUUUUAUGAAAACAGCUUUUCAAAGUAAUCUACGUGUUGCGAAAACUUCUGUCUCAUAAUCUUGCUGCAAAGGAAUAAGGAAGAGUUGGUCUGAGUCCAUCAUAGUCCCUGAAAACUACCGCAAGAGGAUGUAUCCUUCCCAGUGAAAAUCUGAGACUUCUCUUUGUUCGCUUCGUGCCCAGAGUCAAGACUGCAUGCAAACAACAACAACAACAACAACAAAGCAUUUUCCCACUAAGUGGGGUCGGCUAUAUGAAUCCUAGAACGCUAUUGCGCUCGGUUUUGUGUCAUAUCCUCCGUUAGAUCCAAGUACUCUAAGCCUUUUCUUAGAGUCUCUUCCAAAGUUUUCCUAGGUCUUCCUCUACCCCUUCGGCCCUGAACCUCUGCCCCGUAGUCACAUCUUCGAACUGGAGCGUCAGUCGGCCUUCUUUGCACAUGUCCAAAUCACCGGAACCGAUUUUCUCUCAUCUUUCCUUCAAUUUCGGCUACUCCUACUUUACCUCGGAUAUCUCGGAUAUCCUCAUUCUCAAUCUUAUCCUUUCUCGUGUGCCCACACAUCCCACGAAGCAUCCUCAUCUCUGCUACACCCAUUUUGUGUACGUGUUGAUGUUUCACCGCCCAACAUUCUGUGCCAUACAACAUCGCUGGCCUUAUUGCCGUCUUAUAAAAUUUUCCCUUGAGCUUCAGUGGCCUACGACGGUCAUACAACAUGUUGGAUGCACUCUUACACUUCAUCCAUCCAGCUCGUAUUCUAUGGUUGAGAUCUCCAUCUAAUUCUCCGUUCUCUUGUAAGAUAGAUCCUAGGUAGCGAAAACGGUCGCUUUUUGUGAUCUUCGCUAAAUUGCUCCGGUCAUUAGUGUGGAUAAGUAUAUAAAUGGAUAGAGAUAGGAAAGCAAACACAAGAUGUACGUGGUUCACCCAGAUUGGCUACGUCCACGGAAUAGAAGAGUUCUCAUUAAUUGUGAAGGGUUUACACAAGUACAUAGGUUCAAGCUCUCCUUUAGUGAGUACAAGUGAAUGAUUUAGUACAAAUGACAUUAGAGUACAAAUGACAUUUGGAAAUAUUGUGGGAGAAUGAUCUCGUAAUCACGAACUUCUAAGUAUCGGAGUGUGGUAUCAUCUUGACUUGCCUUAUCUGUCUCAUAGGUAGAUGUGGCAGCUUCUCUGGAAGUACUCUUCCUCCAUCCAGGGGUGGUAUCUUUAACUGGUGGAGAUGCACAAGGUAAUGUAUCAAUUUCACUUGAAGCUUACUUGUAGUUUCAGGCUUGGUCAAGCGCGAUACAAACCAUGUAGUAGGAGUCCCCCAAGUCGCCGAGCUAGGGGAUUUGCUGAAAGAGGUGACAGACAAGGUAAGCAAUCAGAGCUCCGGCUGAUUGUUCACCUUCUCCCCAUCUUGCAGCAGCAUGAAGGAUAAAGAGAAGAAAAAAUGAGAAGAGAUGAUAUGGGAUACUUUUGCUUUUGAAGAAGUAACUUUCCACAGGCUUAUUCUUGAACUGAGCUGGAGGGUUUUCUGGUUUCCUCCAGAGUAUAAGGCCGACUGAAGAAUUUGAGGGUCAAAACAAGUCCAUCAAAUCUAGAGUACGUUCGACCCUGUUGAUAUGGGAUACUUUUGCUUUUGACAGAGUAAUGGAUGGAUCGGCACGUGUGCUGUUACGCUUGUCUCCACAUGCUUCCUUGUAUCCUUCGCACUUGCCCUAUCUGUUCCUCAAGCAGAUGCGGUAUCUUCCCUGGCAACAUAAGAUGUUGAAGAUGAGUACUCGAGAGCAAUGCCAGGUAAGUAAUCAGGUAAGGGGUUCCAGGCUGUCAGUUCCUGGCUGGGAGUUUGAUUUCAAGUGUUGACUGAUUGCUCUCUUUCUCCUUGUCUUGCAGGUAAAAACAAGGCCAAAGGAAAAGACAGGGAAAAAGCAUGAUAUGGGAUACUCUUGCUUUUAACCCUGAUGAUAUGAGAUAUUCUUGCUCUAGUAUAGCUUGUUUGCAGAGGUAUUAUCGGGGGGAAAGAAAGCUGAAUAUUUCGAAAGGCUUCGUUGGGAGUGCCCUCUCAGAUAUGAGGAAGGGUUGAGCAUUUUUGCAGGUCUGCCUGUCCGUUGGGGAUGGAGGUCGACAUAUAUAGGAGUCUCCCUAACAACAAGUAGUAAUGCUAUUCCUUUACCCUGCUUGGUCAUAGCACGGUAGUGGGAGCUGCCAGCUUCACAUGUUUUAACUCUGUCAGAGCACUUUGAAAAAGUGGUAUGUGGUAUCUGGCUCUCGAGAUUCGGAGAACGAUGCUUCUUCAAUUUUUGAGAAAGCAAUCAUGGUUGGGGUCUGGCUCUCGAGAUUCGGGGAGCGGUGUCUCUUCGAUUUUUGAGAAAGUAAUCAUGUUGGGAGUUUGGCUCUCGAGAUUCGGAAGGCGGUGCCUCUUCGAUUUUGGAGUAAGCAAUCUUGUUGGGAGUGUUUUCUCGGAUGUGAGUAAAGGUUGGGCAUGUUUGCUAGUCUACCUUGCCACGAAGCACGGAGGUUGACACACAGGGACUUUCCAAUUAUCCAGCAGUGGUACUGUUCCUUUACCCUUGUGGGUAAUAAUAUGAUAGCUAGACCUUCAAAAUUUAUGUGUCUAAACUUUGUUAGUGCUGUUUCUUUGCUAUUCUUUUACCUUUCUUGGUCAGAGAGAUGUAGUGGGAGCUGCAAGCUUCACGUGCUCAACUUUGGCAGAGAACUUUGGCAAAGUUAUUUGUGGUACCCAUGAGCUAUUGCUGCGUGUGGGAAGUGGGUGAUUGGACAGUAAGAUUCAUGUGUUUUCUACUUCCCCAGAAGUCUUCGACAGAAUACCCAUAAUUUCCGCAAAGCUGAGUGUGCGUGUGACAGGUGCUGACAAGGCUGAAAAAGUAGGUGCCUCUUCGAUUUCUGAGAUCGGCCAUCGUGGUCUCUGAGGAGCCCAGCUUUUGAGGAAGCGAGCGCCUCUUCGAUUUCUGAGAUCGGCUUUCGUGGUCUUUGAGCAGCCCAACUUUUGAGAAAGCAAACACCUCUUCGAUUUAUGAGAUCAACCCUCGUGGUCUCUAAGCAGCCCAGCUUUUGAGAAAGCAAACGCCUCUUCGAUUUCUGAGCAGGCGCCUCUUCGAUGUCUGAAGCUCCGUCGAGUGCAGCUUUUUAUAGAGGCUGGCAUUAAGUUCCAAAGCACACUUGAAUCUCCACCAGUAGAAGCUCUAUUCUUGCACUUCUAAGAUCUUGAUUUGUCCGACCUCUUCUCUCUUUAAUACCUUUGAAAAUGUCUGGCCCCUCCGACCGUCGUUUUGACUUGAACCUUGUUGAAGAGGCAGCCCCGCCUUCUCCAGACAACAUAUGGCGCCCAUCCUUCGUCUCCCCUACUGGUCCUCUUACCGUUGGGGAUUCCGUGAUGAAGAAUGAUAUGACCGCUGCGGUGGUGGCCAGGAACCUUCUCACUCCCAAAGAUAACAGACUACUUUCCAAACGGUCUGAUGAGUUAGCUGUUAAGGAUUCACUGGCUCUCAGUGUUCAGUGUGCAGGUUCUGUGUCUAAUAUGGCCCAACGCCUAUUUGCUCGAACCCGCCAAGUUGAAUCAUUGGCGGCCGAAGUGAUGAGUCUCAAACAGGAGAUUAGAGGGCUCAAGCAUGAGAAUAAACAGUUGCACCGGCUCGCACAUGACUAUGCUACAAACAUGAAGAGGAAGCUUGACCAGAUGAAGGAAACUGAUGGUCAGGUUUUUACUUGAUCAUCAGAGAUUUGUGGGUUUGUUCCAAAGGCAUUUAUUGCCUUCGUCUUCUGGGGCUGUACCGCGUAAUGAAGCUCCAAAUGAUCAACCUCUGAUGCCUCCUCCUUCUAGGGUUCUGUCCAGUACUGAGGCUCCGAAUGAUCCCCCUCCGAUGCCUUCUCUUUCUGGGGCUCUACCGACUGCUGAGACUUCUCCUAAGCAACCUUUGUGAAGGCUCCAUCUUGUUUGUUUAUUUUGACUCAUGUAUAUGUACAUAUUUGUAGCUUAUCGGGGAUAUCAAUAAAUAAGUUUUCCUUCAUUUCAACGUAUUGUGUUAAAUACACCAAAGCCUUCUUCGCUAAGUUCUUUGAAUUUUCUUUUGUUGAAGCUUGUAUGUUGAAGCUUUCUGAGUGGAGCAUGUAGGUUGGGGUAGUGUUCCCUUAAUUUUUCGAGUGAGGAAAACUUCUCGGUUGGAGACUUGGAAAAUCCAAGUCACUGAGUGGGAUCGGCUAUAUGAAUCUUAGAACGCCAUUGUGCUCGGUCCUGUGUCAUGUCCUUCGUUAGAUCCAAGUACUCUAAGUCUUUUCUUAGAGUCUCUUCCAAAGUUUUCCUAGGUCUUCCUCUACCCCUUCGGCCCUGAACCUCUGUCCCAUAGUCGCAUCUUCUAAUCGGAGCGUCAGUAGGCCUUCUUUGCACAUGUCCAAACCACCGUAACCGAUUUUCUCUCUCAUCUUUCCUUCAAUUUUCGGCUUUUCGGCUACUACUUUACCCCGGAUAUCCUCAUUCCUAAUCUUAUCCUUUCUCGUGUGCCCACACAUCCAACGAAGCAUCCUCAUCUCUGCUACACCCAUUUUGUGUACGUGUUGAUGCUUCACCGCCCAACAUUCUGUGCCAUACAGCAUCACCGGCCUUAUUGCCGUCCUAUAAAAUUUUCCCUUGAGCUUCAGUGGCAUACGGCGGUCACACAACACGCCAGAUGCACUCUUCCACUUCAUCCAUCCAGCUUGUAUUCUAUGGUUGAGAUCUCCAUCUAAUUCUCCGUUCUUUUGCAAGAUAGAUCCUAGGUAACGAAAACGGUCGCUCUUUGGUAUUUCUUGAUCUCCGAUCCUCACCCCUAAAUUAACUGCCUUGAUUACUUUCGUCUUGUGUUUACAAAGCGUGCAAAUGUCACAAGCCACAAGUUCAAUGAAGCUGUGGUAAUAUGGAAAAUAAAUCCAACAGUUCCAGUAAACACACAAAGUUUGGACCUACUGUUUAAUUUGAGGAAAAUACAAACACCCGAAGACAUGAAGAUGGGAAUAGGUGGGAGGAGAACCAAAAAGAUCGACAUAAGGAGAAAUCCAAUUAAGCACAUAGGAAGGAGAUUGAUGAUGUGGACGGCUAUGAGGGCAACUUCAACCCAUAAUUCAUGAGGGAGCCCUGCAGUGUGGGGUAUGGUCUGGAUUGAGGUGGCUGUAUGACGAUGCUUACGUUAGGCAAGCCAAUUCUGUUGAGUAUGAAGGUAUGAGCAGCGUUGCUCAAUGCUUAACUCAUGACAAAAAGUAGAAAAAUAAAGAUUGAUUAACACACUUAUUAUCACUUUGAAGAACCUAAACAGUAGCAUGAAGAAUAUUGCGAACCAUAGCCACAAAAAAUUUUAAGUGAUCAAAGACUUCCGACUUUUGUUUCACGAGAUAGAUCGAGUAGCGGAAAAAUUCAUCAGUGAAUAAAACAUAAUAACAAAAAUGACUAAUGAAGUAAAGUGACAUUCACAUCAGAAUGAACAAUAUAAAAUAAAGAGGAAGCAUGAUUAUUAUUGUUAUUAAAAUUAAAAGGAUGACAGGCGACAAAGGCGACAAAGCAUGAUUAUUAUUGUUAAUAAAACAUAAUCAUAUUCUCAUUAAGUCCCAAUAAAAACAAUAACUCCGAGAACUAAAGUCUUGAAGAAAAGGGGUUGUAUCACUGUUCAUCAAGUUUACAAAUCAAAGAAAUAAACAAUUUACAAUUUAACACAAUGGGUUUUAUUUAUUACUGAUUAAUAGAAGUCUACCAAAUUCAAUAACACAAUAAUCAAAAUUCAGUUCCAAAAAUAACAAUAGUUUAGAGAAUUGAAGAAUUGAAGAAAAGGUGUUGUACUUGUGUUCGUGAAACUGGUGUAGGAGAGAGAUUAUCAGUCAUUGCCUUCUUUGCAAAACUCAGAAACCUUCCCAGCUGGAGCCAUGGCUCUCGAACUGAACUCAGGCUUUUGGCGGGUACUACUCUGCAAAAACAAAAGCAGGAAAUUGUAUGAUUUCUGAUUUGGUCAUAGCCCACCAAAUUGUUCUAGAUUUUACAAUCACAAACAAAAAAAGGGAAGAAAAUAAUGAGUUAAGUGGGACAAAUAAAAAAGAAGGGAGAAUCCACUUUACCAAACGAGGUCCAGGCGUUGGAGACGAACAGAUAAAACGAAAAGAAAGUUGCAUGUACAGUUUUAUUGUUGAUUGCAAAUUUGGAAUGUGGGUUUUCUUUUUCUUUUCCCAACUCAGAAAUAGAAUUAAGUUGGGGGAAGAGAUGUUCCGGGGUUUGAAGAUCAUGAGGCGGCUGACUUGGAAGAGGUAGCCGACGAAGGAAAGAUCGAGGAAGAAGAAAGAGCAUGGCAGAAAAUCAAUAACCCACAACCUUAAACCCAGUCACUCUGAUGAAACUGUUGGAGCUUCCUAGCCGUUAGGGUUAGGGUUCCUUGUUUUUAGGUUUAUUUCUGUUAUGUUGAAUAAUUCCUCCUUAACUUGAGGAACAAGAUUGUUUUUCUGUUUAACGUAGUCAUGCACCACGAUUAUAGGACUUGUAAAGUCGUGGGUGGUUAUUUUCCUUUCUAUCUCAGUGUAAGGCUAUUUAUUAGCUACUAUAGUUGUUUAGCUGAAUAAGAAUUCUCCCAGCUUUCGUGCAUUCAAACCUUGCAAAGUUCUCUGUUAUCCCUUUGGUUCUAACAUCUGGUAUCAGAGCCCCAUCACGGGCCUGAUCAAAAGCUUGUGACCCAGGUACUAGAGUGAAGAAACAAAGAUAUGGUAUCCGAGAAUAGCUUUGUGCAACCUGCCAUUCCAAGGUUUGAUGGUCGCUAUGACCAUUGGAGUAUGUUGAUGGAGAAUUUUCUGAGUUCCAAAGAGUAUUGGAACUUGGUCGAGACGAGGAUCACUGCUGCAGCAGGAGUAUCAGGAGGUUCAGACCUCAGUGAGACACAGAAGAAGACCUAUGAGGAGCAGAAGCUGAAAGAUCUCAAGGCUAAGAACUAUCUGUUCCAAGCCAUUGAUCGUUCGAUACUGGAGACUAUCUUGAAGAAAGAUACGGCAAAUGAUAUAUGGGAUUCCUUGAAGCAAAAGUAUCAAGGAACAGUGCAUGUCAAGCGUGCUCAAUUGCAAGCUCUUCCCAAAGAGUUUGAAGUGCUACAAAUGAAGGUUGGGGAGUCGGUUAAUGAUUAUUUUGGCAGAACUCUCGUCAUAGCUAACAAGAUGAGAAUGCAUGGGGAGCGAAUGGAUGAUGUGAUAAUCAUUGAGAAGAUUUUGAGGUCUAUGAUUUCAAAGUAUGAUUACGUUGUUUGCUCCAUUGAGGAAUCCAAUGAUCUGGAUACGCUGUUUAUAGACGAGCCUCAGAGUAGCCUAUUGGUGCAUGAACAACGGAUCAGCCGACAUGUGGACGAUGAACAAGCACUUCAAAUUACUCAUGGAUCCCAGUAAGGAGGAAGAGGUGGAGGCCAAGGCACUUAUCGAGGAAGAGGAAGGGGUAGGUUUGGGUUCGACAAAUCUACCCUAGAGUGCUACAAUUGUCAUGAGCUAGGGCACUUUCAAUGGGAAUGCCCUAAGCGAGCCAAGGAAGCCAAGGAACAACAAGUGAAUUAUGCAGAAACAAAGGAGGAGAUAUUGUUGAUGGCUCUUGUGAAUUCCAAAGAGGCUGCGAUAGAGCACAUUUGAUUUCUUGACUCGGGGUGUAGUAAUCACAUGUGUGGGAACAAAACCAUGUUUUGUGAUCUUGAUAGCAGUUUUCGAGAAUCGGUGAAGCUUGGCAACGACUCGAGUCUUCCAGUACAAGGCAAGGGUAAGAUUCAAAUGGAGGUCAAUGGGUUUGUGCAUGUGAUCAUAGACGUCUUCUACAUGCCAGAUCUAAAAAACAACUUGUUGAGCAUCGAUCAGUUGCAAGAAAAUGGGCUAGCAGUACUCAUCCAACGAGGAAAAUGCAAAAUCUUUCAUUAUGAGAAAGGUGUAAUCAUGGAAACCGAGAUGACGCACAACAAGAUGUUUGUUGUGCUUGCUCGUUGCACACCAAAGGAACAACAAUGCUUCUCUUCACUGACUACAGAUCAAGCAAACCUUUGGCACUGUCGAUAUGGACAUCUCAGUUGGAAUGGACUUAAGGUGCUUCAACAAAAGAAUAUGGUGGUAGGGCUACCUCUGUUUCAAGUUUCUCAAAGAGUGUGUGAAGAUUGUUUGGUGGGAAGACAACACCGUGAUCCAUUUCCAACAGCAAGCAUGUGGAAAGCCUCCAACAUUCUUCAGCUGGUGCAUGCCGACAUAUGUGGACCAAUCAACCCGAGUUCAAACAGCAAAAAACGCUAUCUAAUCACCUUCAUCGAUGACUUCAGCAAAAAAACUUGGGUUUACUUCUUGGUGGAGAAGUCAGAAGCAUUCGCUACAUUCAAGUCUUACAAAGCAAGAGUUGAAAAGGAAACUGGGACAUACAUACGGAGCCUUAGAACAGAUCGUGGGGGAGAAUUCACAUCACAAGAGUUCACUAACUUCUGCAAUGAGAAUGGAAUCCAUAGACAGUUGAUGGCUGCCUAUACACCUCAACAAAACGGUGUCACGGAAGGAAGAAUCGCACUAUUAUGAAUAUGGUGCGAAAUAUGUUGUUAGCAAAGCAAAUUCCCAAAACCUUCUGGCCUGAAGUAGUAAAUUGGAUGGUGCAUGUUUUAAACCGAUGCCCAACACUUGCCAUGAAGAACAAAACACCUGAGGAGGCGUGGAGUGGGCAUAAACCAUCAGUGGACUACUUUCGAGUUUUUGGAUGCAUCUCACAAGUACAUGUACCUGACACCAAAAGAGUAAAGCUUGAUGACAGGAGCUUUAAAUGCAUAUUCCUUGGGGUAAGUGAUGAAUCCAAAGCUUAUAUAUUAUUUGAUCCUCUUUCAAAUAAGAUAAUUGUUAGUCGAGAUGUAGUAUUUGAAGAAGAUCAACAAUGGAAUUGGGAUGAUGGCCACCAACAAGCCAUAUUGCCUGAUCUCGAGUGGAAGACUGAAGAAGAAGCAGACGUGGAAGACGAGGGAGAUGGAGAAGAGCCUGAGGCCAACGAAAAAACUGGAGAAACUAAACCUGAGUCUAAUGGAAGUGACACGUCAAAUAAUGAAAGCUCAUCUCGUGAAAUACAAGUUCGGAGACCACCGGUGUGGAUGCAAGACUAUGAAACUGGACAAGGUCUUUCCGAUGAAGAAAGUGCAAACUUGGCAUACUUAGCCUUGCUCACUGACAGGGAUCCCAUCACAUUCGAAAAAGCUGUGAAGUUUGAGAAAUGGAGGAAAGCCAUGGACCAAGAAAUACAAGCCAUUGAGAAGAACGAUAUGUGGGAAUUAAUAGUGCUGCCAUCAGGAGGAAAACCAUAGGAGUUAAGUGGGUUUUUAAGACAAAGUUCAACGAAAAUGGAGAAGUGGACAAGUACAAGGCUCGGCUAGUUGCCAAAGGGUACAGUCAGCAAUAUGGAAUUGAUUACGCUAAAGUAUUCGCACCAGUGGCUCGGCUGGACACCAUUCGAAUUGUUAUAUCCCUUGCUGCCCAGAAAGCUUGGGUGAUUCACCAACUUGACGUCAAGUCGGCUUUUCUGCAUGGGGAAAUUAAUGAGGAAGUCUUCGUUGACCAGCCUCCAGGUUAUGAAAAGAAAGGGCAUGAAUCCAAGGUUUAUCGACUCAGGAAAACUUUGUACAGACUCAAACAGGCUCCUCGAGCCUGGUAUAGUCGCAUUGAGGCAUAUUUCAUCAAAGAAGGCUUCACCAAGUGCCCUUAUGAGCAUACGUUAUUCAUUAAAUCUGCGGGUGGAGGUAAGAUUUUGAUUGUGUGCCUUUAUGUUGAUGACCUUAUUUUUACUGGUAACGAUGAAGUGAUGUUCGAACAAUUUAAGAAAUCCAUGAUGAUCGAGUUUGACAUGACUAAUCUUGGAAAAAAUGAGGUACUUCCUUGGUAUUGAAGUAUUACAAAGGACAGAUGGUAUCUUCAUCAGUCAACGGAAGUAUGCUCAAGAGAUUCUGGAAAAGUUCAAUAUGGAUCAGUGUAACUCAGUACAUAAUCCAAUGGUUCCUGGCUUUAAACUCAUAAAAGAUGAAAGGGGAGUUGAAGUUGAUAGUACUGUCUACAAGCAGAUGGUGGGAAGUCUUAUGUAUUUGACUGCCACACGCCCCGAUUUGAUGCUUAUCGUUAGCCUGAUCAGUAGGUACAUGAAGCGUCCUACUGAGUCUCACUUAGUGGCAGCAAAAUGAGCUUUGAGGUACUUGAAGGGCACUGUUAGUUUUGGGAUGUUCUACAAGAAGGGAGGAAGUGUUCUACAAGAAGGGAGAAAGUGAAGAACUCGUAGGGUACACAGACAGUGAUUAUGCUGGCGAUCAGGAUGACAGGAAAAAUACCUCAGGUUAUGUUUUUUGAAUGAGCUCGGGAGUUGUCUCUUAAUCCUCAAAGAAACAACGAGUGGUCACUCUCUCCACCACCGAAGUUGAGUUCAUAGCUGCAGCAUCAAGUUGUUUAGCUGAAUAAGAAUUCUCCCAGCUUUCGUGCAUUCAAACCUUGCAAAGUUCUCUGCUAUCCCUUUGGUUCUAACACACUCAAGGUUCUUUGGCUAAGAAAGCUCAUAGGUCACUUUUCAAGGAUGAUUAACAAAAACAGAUUCAAUCAGAGGCCAUAGAGAUUGAGUUGAACAGAGAGAAAACGAGAGAAUUCCAAACAAAAUUCUAGAGAGAAAAGACUUACCCUGAAAUCAAAGCCAAUUGAAGAAUUUUCUUCGAAUCGGGAGAACGUGAUUCGCGUUGUGCUUCCUGGAAAAGUGGCCAGAGAGAACUAGAGCUGUGGGUUGGAACAUAUUGGAAGCAAAUGGCUUUUUCUGCCUCAUUCCAGGCAGAAAUUGAAGAACCCUAAUUGGACUAAACUAAGUUUAAUAAGGUUGAAUACAAUUGGUGGUCAUACAAACUAAUUUCGAGUUUAUAUGUGAAAAAUAGUCGGUACAAAACAAAACAACCUCGGAUAAACUUUGAUGCCUUCUGACUAUAAAACAGUUAAAAAUGUAUGUUUGGUAGAAAGCCAAACUAGAUGCCUAUGUAAAAAUAGUAGAUACCAGAAAAAUUGCCCAUGCUCUCUCCUGCAGGUUCUAAAACCGUAAUCCACAACAGCUACGACUCAUUUCCACAUAAAGAUACAAAAUCUGGAUAACAGCAACUAACGCAAAACCACCCAACUGUCCUUUUACAAACAGAACUGUUUACAAUAAGCAUAUAUAACAUGAUUUGGUCUGCAGUGCUUUCAGCAAUAGUUAUACAAACAAAGAUCCUAAAGAUAUGCAUGCAAUAUAAUGACUAUUACCUCCAAGUAAGCAGUUGCAUGGUUGCAAUCAUAAGUUGCACACAUCAUGUUCAAUCUGAUAGCUUUAGUAUAGCACUUGACAACAUUAUUUCAGGCUUUUCCUUAAAUGCAGUAUUUCCCUGGAAGAAGAUGAGUAAACAUAGAAAUUGAAACACUACUCAUUAGUACAUUGGUAUCACAGUUCUUUUGCUGAUAGAAAAUGAAAUUAAACAGAUAUAAGCAUAAUAUUUGACAAACAAAGCAAAAGGAAAGUUAUUUUCUGAUAUUUCAUUUAAUUAAGGGGAUGGAGAAAUCUAUUUCAAUUUUGAAGGAGAACACCAUGUACUUCAUUCAUAUCAAACAAUAGCAUGAUUCUAAUUUCAAUUUUGAACAUAAUAAAACAUAUAGCAUUUAUAUAUUACUUAAACUUCUUUCAAAUUUACUUUUGUAUUUAAAGAUCGUAUAUUUUAAUGAGUUUAAAUUGACUUUAUAUAUAAAUUAUUCCUUUUUAUAUUUAAAUAAUAAUGUACAUUGUAUAAUUACAGUUACAGUCCAUGAAUACAAUUAGAGGCCUUUGAAUUUCUUUGCAAGAGAAGAUUUAUACGGAAAAGCAACUGCAAAUAUAUAGACGGAGGGAAUUUGAGGUUUGUAGUUCAUCUACUCAGCAAUUUCUUACUAUAGAUACAACUGAGUAGUGAGAGAGCGUUAGAUAAUACUAUUCAAUUCCACAGGUAAUUAUAAAAAUAUAAUCAUAUAAUUUCUCACAAUAAAAAUCAAUGUGGCUAAAAACAAAUGAUAUAUAUCAACUUCGAUGAUUUCUCUAAUUUUCCCUCUCUUUUUCAGCAACCAAACAACAAUCGAAAAUUACCAAAAACUGAAAAAAUUGAAGUACCUGGGCCAAGUUGGAAUGCCUGGGUUGCCAUCUCCACUUGGUGUAAAAAAAUCAUGGUGGACAUCUUCAAGAGCACCUAAACCCUUCAUCCACAAACGUAUGUAAAAAAUCAACAUAAUAAUCUUGUGCUCCGGGAAGGAGAGUUGCAGAGAUGGGGGAGAAGAAACAAAGAAGAGGAAUGAGGGAGAAAGUUUGAAAGAAUGAGGGAACAAAAGGAAGUAGGGUGUGUGUGUGUGUGGAGUGUUCUCGAGAAUGAGAACUGUCACGGGGAGGAACAAAAGGAAGUGGGCCUGGGAGAUAGUACCCAACACGGGGGUAUUUUUGCAAACGGGCCAGUUCGGGUACCCAUUUUCCUAUACUCAUGGAACCGGCCCGAACCUAAAAUUUCAAAACCCCGCCCCACCCCGUUUCCCUUUUUUUAAAUUAGGAACCGGCCCGUACUCGCCCCGAACCUUUGAUUACCCGCCCCGACCCGUGGGUCCUGUACCCGUUUGCCCACCCCUAGCCUGAUGAUAGCGAAGGAGAGGGAAGAAAGGAGAGAGGUGACACGUCCCGACCUCGAUAUUCUCUGAAUACCCGGAUAGGCACGUGCUGGCCAACACUCGAGGGUGACGAAAACCAUUUACUGAAUACAAGAGUAAUGAUUAGGAGAAAAUAAACAUGAAUAAUCAUUAGAAUCAAAGGGUAAUAAACAAAGUUUAAGGAAAUGUCUAUAAUGCACAGAAUACGUUCUAAUUCAAGAUCACAAAAGGAAAGAUCAUUACAAGAUAUCACACAAGUGAUUGAUAGACUGCUACUGGUAGGGGAAUGCCUUGUACGUUAUGUCGAAGUCCUUGUUUCUAAGACCUGAAUGGGGGCGCAAAACAAAGGUGAGUGGACCAAGUUCAUAUAUAUAAUAAUAAUAAAACAGUUAUCAAGAUAUUAACCCAACAAUUUAUAUAAAGAAAACUACUAGCAUAAUAAGUGAUAGGUUUACUGAAAAUCCUAGCAUGCCAAAAACAUCUCAAAAGACAUAUCGCGGAAAUCAAAAUAUCAAUCGUCUCACAGAUCGUCUCGUAAGCGCAGUGUGCUGCCAGUAAGAUCACUGAAUAAAUAUAACUCUCGGCCCUAUGCCAGCACCGUGGUCUCUACGCUCAGAGCUAGAGAUUACCAACUCCCCGCUCAAUGCCUGCUCUGUGUCCCUCAGCCCGUAGCUAGGGAUUAUUUCUCCCGACCUAACUGCCAACACCAGAUCCUCGCCCCAGCCGGCAUAGUGUCUACUAGGUACGCACGAAUAAUUAUGCUUCUCAAAUAUAACCACUUCAUAGUAUAAAGUCAUCCAUCGUCUAUAUUAUAAAUAGGGGUUUUGAAAACAUGUUCUAGCAUCUUAUCGUCAUCCAUCAGAUAGUCUACCAGUUCAUGGUUUUUUUUAUAGAAAAUAUGAUAUAUUAAAAUAUAGCUCAAUAUAGGCCAACAAUUAAUUCCUUACAAAAUAACAAGACGAUAAUCAACAUUUCAAUAAACAUGCUUAACAUAAAAUCAAUUCAUAAACUCGUAAGGCAUGCAUUUCAUUUAUGCAAAUAAACUAUAUAAUUAUGCAAUUUUUAAAAGGCACACUCAUAGAUCCGUAGCAGCAGAAUUGUGCGGAAAAGGAUUAGGGAGGCCCCAACUAGAAACUUCACCUAAGCACAAAAAAAUGUACAAUUUAUCAAACUACCCAACUAUAGAAUUUCAAGAAAUGGAAAUGGGUCUUGGGUUUGGAUCCGGAUUAGGGUUUAGGUUUAGGUUAAAUAGGGUUAAGACCUAUUGGGUUUUGGGUUUGGAUAGUUUAAGAACAAAUGGGUGGUUUGGGCUUGAGCCCAAACCCACACAACACACAUACACAUACGCCAGCACACACACAUGCAUACACAAUACACAUGCACACAUGCACAGCACACAUGCACUCACAUACGCAUACACAGUACAGCACACCACACAGUACACAUACACUCACAUCAUACACACACACACACACACACACACACAUACUGUACAUGCACACACCCAUACACAACAACACACACCCACACGGGUGCACAGUAUACACAUCACACACCUACACACGCACACACGCACACACAUAACACACCACACACGUGCGCCACACACACAAACCACAUACACUCACACAUUCACACGAACACACCCACACACACACAUCGCAGCCCACACCACACAUACACUGUACUGCACACACACACACACACACACGACACUGUCCAACAAAUAACAAGGUAAUUAAUUACCUGGGUUCGAAUUCAAAGGGGUCCGUGCACCCACAGUAACAAAUUCGCCGGAGUUCGUCCUUUCACACUUAUCGUGAACUGGAAAAUAAAGAUUGAGGUGCAUGUAGGGGUUAUGGCUUGAAUAAAGGGUUCAAAACCUCAUCCCAGUUAUCAUAGAGACAAAAAGGAAGAGAUUAGAUGCACUAAGACACCCACCAGCUUCGAACUCGACGACAUUUCGCCGGAGUUUGUAGUCGGAGCUGGGUUCUUAGCAUAGAGAAGAGCUAAGGUCAAAACCCUCGAGUUUUGCCAUAAAACCAACAUCACAAAUCAUAAAACAACAUGCAUAACCCAGAAAUUUGAAGAAGGAACACAAGUCUUACCUGGGUUCGAGUUUCAGAGCUUUGAAGCUCUCGGCUUCAAUGGCAGAACAUUCAACAGUGCUCUGAUGGCGUAUGCAAAGGUAAUGUUGAGUUCGUUGAGUCUCAAGGAUUCCAAAUAUAUGAAUUUUUUGUUCGAUUUUGUGAGGGAGCUAAGGUGAGGGCUAGGUGAAGUUCUCGGAGCUGAGAGAGAUAGAGAGAGAGAGAGAGAGAGAGAUGGAUUUCAGAAAAUGCAGAGGGAGAGCUCAGGAAGAGAAGAAAGCUAGGGAGCUGCCACUUGGUAGUUUAGGAGGAAUGAGGUAACUAGAUCGACGGGUAGGAUUAAAUGAGAUAAAAGACUAAAUUGAUAGACCUAAACUUGUUUCAGGGAGGAAUAUAGAAAUAUAGAUAAAAAUGUGGGGGUGGGUAUAACAAGAGGUGCGGGAGAGAAGGAGGAAAGGGCAUUGGCUGCCCAAUCAUAAAAGAGGAAAAGGAGGGAAAUGAGGGAGGAGAGAAGGGGGGAAAUCGGAUCCCCAUUUUACUAGUGAGAAAAAAAAGUAAUGAAAACAAGCGUACCAAAAAUUCAAAUGUAUCACAAUCAAAUGUAUCAAAAAUUCAAAUGUACCAAGAAACCAAAUUACAAAAAAUUCAAAUGUAUACAAAAAAACAAAUGUACCAAAAAUUCAAAUAUACCAUAAACCAAAUGUAUUCAUGUUAUAAGUAACCAAAUGUACCGAUAUAACCCAACGUACUUAACAACGAGUUUUUUUUACAUUCUAUUUUAUUUACUAACAUAAAUAUUUCAAUAAAAAAAAACAUGAAUAGACUUCUAAGAAAAUAAAAUGAAAUGAUAUUAAGCAUCAAAAUUGUAGGAAAAAUGUUUAGUCAAAAUUUCAAAGGGAAUAGAUGUUUAAUCUAUGACAUUUAAAAACGAGGUAUCUAUAUCAAAACGUCUCUAAACCAAAUCACUUACUUUAGAAAGUAUCCAGAACUCGAAAAAUAGCAAUACUGACAUGUUCGAACUAAUUGAACUUAGGGUUUGAUGCUCUGAGCUGGUGAGUGUUGGACUGUAGUCACGAGUAAGGUAAAAUUCCUCAUAGCCUCUCCAGGUCCGAAAAGGAUAGAUAACCAUGGCUUGCCACCCGUUGUCCUCUUUUUAACCAAAAAAAUAAAAAACUAACCGAACUUAGUUCACCGUCCGUAAGAGAACUUCAAGGCACGAUACCUAUACGUUGGGACAGAUUGCAUAAGCAUGUUGAUUGUCUCUAUAUAAAUUACAUAUCUUGGUACAUACAUGAAUUCAUCAUCCAUUUGCUUUCAAAAGCACCAUAUAAAGGGAGAAUUUCGGAUUAAUCACUCAAUUAACAAAAAUUUAGAGCUAAGAGAACCACUCCUAAAAGGGAUUGUGCCAAAGAGAAUAAAAACUUACCCAUGGCCUCAAAUAUGUCUCCAAUUAGUCAAUUUAGCUCAUCCAAGCUCAAGAUAAACUCAACCACCGAGACUCUUCAACAAGGAAUGACCCCGGCAAUUCGAGUUAAACACUUGAAUCUCAAACUUGUUCGAAAAUGAAAUUUGGAAUUAGAAAAUUUAUUUACAUAUUCUGGACCCAACUCCAAAGUGAUCGGCCGGAUAUGGCGAAAAACCGCCGGAAAACGUUCAAACUUUGGGACUCCGAUAUCUGAGAAUGCUUGGUUUCAACGUGUGGUUAUUGGGUCAAAUCGAAGAGGGCUUCGAUACGAAUUCGUAGCCUCCAACCUUACGUUGCCGUAUGAGAAUGUUUAUAACUUUGAAGUGGAAAAGCGUAGAAUGAGAUGGGAAGAGAGAAGCAGCAGCUUUGCUGCUGGGGCAGGGGAACCUGCCGUUUUAAUAUUUACUUUUGUUGCAAAUUUACUCUUUUGCCCUUAAACUUAAAGCAUGCACUUCUUAAAACUCCGAUUUACAUUCCAUUUGCAGUCACGUGUUCGUGACGAGGAGUCCUAUAAGAAUUUGCUAAAAUAAUACUUCUUAUAUGUCACAAGCACAAAGAUUAACAAAGUCAACAUUCAGCCUCUAAGGACAUUUUGGUCAUUUCACAUGAAAAAUUAGGGACGGGAUGUGACAAAAUUGAAUUAAGCUGAUAGAAAGAUGGGUCUACCUAUGAUUUUAGAUAGUCGAAAGUAACCCGCUACAAUACACGGAGUGUCUAUAAUUUCAGACAGUCGAAAGUGACCCGCUGCAAUACACGAACUGACUUAAACGACGAUAUUGGUAUCAAGUAUCAGCGCCAUACUAAGUUACUAACGUUAUAUUAACGUAUUGAUACCAAAUAUCAAAGAUAUAUUAACAUUGUUUAAUAUCGAUGACAUAUCAACAUUCACUAAGUUUGGACACUUUUCGUCAUCCAUGAACACUUUGCCGAUAACGGCAAGAAGUAGCUAACAAGAUGAAGACUUCGGUAGAGAACGACAUCCCAUUCCAGAUAUGACGUAAUUUUUCUGUUUCAAGUCACCCAAAGGUUGUUGGCCGAGUGAAAUUUGGGUUACCAAUUUUUCAAUCAUGAUAUCGAUCUACCAGCUUUGAUAUAUAAAUAUUGUCAUUUCACUUGAAGCGUGCCAUCAUUUUUUCUACAUCCACAGAAUCCUGGCCAAAUAAAAAAUUGGUAACCCUGGCCAUUCAUUAAUCAACUGCAGACUGCAGCGCCCCUGCAAUUGAUACAAGACAAGAAUACCAUUGUUUACCUUUGAAAUUCAGGAAAUCCAAAAUCUUUGAAAAGCUUUAAGCUCGUUGAAAAACUGCGGAAAAUAUUGAAUGUCUCCAGGAUGACAUAUGCAUUGUGACAUUGACAAUGAAAAUCUGAGGCUUGAUUCAAUCGCUUCCUAGCCCGAAUCAAGACGAUGCGUGCUGAUGCACUUGAAAUGAAAUAGCUGCCUCAGUUACUACUUCUCAUCUGGUGGUUUAGCGGUCACAGUUUGAAUGGAGCUGCAGCAGUACAAAAAAAGUAAUUGACAUAAACCAUACUCGAAGAUGCUUAAAAAUUAGCUAAGACGGAUAAGACAUACCUUGUGAAUGUACAGGAUGUUCCUUUUACCACGACCUGCAACUAUAUAUACAAUUCCACUUGCUUCCUGUUAAACAAAUAAUUUCACAUGCAUAUGUAAAGUCUGGCCAUUCAUAAAUCUGGAAGUUAUGAACCAAAACAAACUGGCAAUGACAUGCUCAAUCAACUGCAGUGUCCCUGCCAGUAUGCCAUAGAUAGAAGCGACAAUUUUCAGCUUGAUAGCUUAACCUGAAUUUAGUCUGCAAUAGAAUUAAUAUAAGAAGAAUACCAUUGUUUACCUUUACAAAACAGGACAUCCAAAAUCAUUGAAAAGCUUCGAGCUCGUUGGAAAAUUGCUGCAAUUGAAUGUCUACAGGAUGACAUAUGCAUUGUGACAUAGCAAUGAAAAUUUGAGACUUGAUUAAAUCUCUUCCUUGGCCUGAAUUAAGACAAUGCAUACAUGCUGGUGCUCUUGAAAGACAAUGCAUACAUGCUGAUGCUCUUGAAAUAAAAUAGCUGCCUCAACUAGUACUUCUCAUCUGGAGGUUAGCAGUCACAAUUUGAAUUCAGAUGUUACUAUAUGAAAAAAGCAUUUAACAUAUACCAUACUCGAAAUGAUUGAAAAUUAGCUAAGGCGGAUGAGAGACAUACCUUUGGUUAUUUAGGAAAUAAAUAAUAAUGGUUAAUGAAGUAAAUAAAUCAAAUAGGAAUCAUUUCUUUGUUCUCUUGCUAAUACGUUCUCAAAUUGCUGCAAUAAUUGUUGACAGGUUGAAGCUCGGAUUGUUCUUCUUGCAGUUCUACGAAUGAUCAAAUAGAACUACAGCUCAGGUAUGAGAGGAUAGGGCUUUCAUUUAUUCUUUCUGAUUUUGGAAAGGGCAAAAAAUCAGACUUGAAUGAGAAAUGGAAGAAGAAACGUAGGAUCCAGAGUUCCGAACUUUCAGCACGCUGAUGCCAAGACUUAUUUAUGAUUUCCAGGGCAUUCAGUAAAAGAAGACAUGCUGAUUGUUAUAGGAGUCCACGAUGUUGAUGGAGGCUCAACUGCACAGAAUUUAGAGGUGAAAGAUGCAAUAACGAAACUUCUGCAGGAUGAAUUGGGGCUCAAGGUUCUUGCAACAGGACCUAAAACGGGACAAUAGAAGCGGAGACAUUACUGAUUCAGAUCAAGAUUAAGGAAGAGUUAGUCUGAGGCUCACCAUCAAUUCUUAAAUCUGGAAGUUGGAAACUAACAUUCUGGUAAAAAUUUGAUAUAACAGGACCAAAAGUUAAAUAUAAAUUUGAGGCACCCAAAUAAAUUGGAAAAUGCGAUUAAUAAUCUGAUACUUUUCUUUGUUCACUUCCAGCCCAGAAUAAUUCACUCAAAAGGAUAUAAAUUCACAUAGAUCAAUUGUAACAUAUAUAUCAUAUACCAGAAAUCAUUUUAAUUAAUUUCCAGAGACCAAUUCCCUUUCUCAGGUUCCAACCAGAAAUGUAGUACUUGCAUACUCAAAACAAAAUAUAAAACAUUCGUUUCUCACAAUCAGCUUCGGGAAUACACACACACACUUUUCCACCACCCUGAGCAAUAAAAAAAUGGCAGAAGCAACCGAUAAGGAACUGCUAAACAGAUGCCGUAUGUUAAUCCUAGCCGGCCAGACUUUUUCAACAUUUUCAGUUUGUUAAACAUCUUACCUGAUGACAACCUUUCUUCCUUUCCUCCAUAAAACAAGAGUAUUAUCCUAACUCUUUAUCUUUGUAUAUAAUAACUAUUUAGUAAAUGAUUUUUAAAGCAAAAUACUGAAAUGUCAUUGUACAUCUUUGAGAUGAUGCACGGUUAUUUCGUACUCAUCUGAACUAUAUUACAUAUACAUUCUUCAGAUAGACUUCCAUUGCUAGCAAGUCUUGCAUUCAGAAUUUCAAAGAUGCAAUCGAUAUGCAGAUCUUCAAAAGAAUACUUAAAAAAAUUAAGGAAUAACAAAACAGCAUUUGAGUUUCCAAGUCCCUUUGGACCAAACAUCUAAAGACGUGCUUAAUGUAAAAGAGAUUUUUCAGACCAACUUACAAAUACUUGGAUGAAGUAAUAAUCCCAAUUUUGGGAGUAAAGGAUAUGAAUUCACAUAGAACAAUUGUAACAUAUAUUGCAUAUACCAGAAAUCAUUUUAAUUAAUUUCCAGAGAGGGUUCAGGGUAUAUAGAAAUGGAAACAGUUGUUAACAAAUACUGUAGCUUCAACCGGAAUACUGAAAAAAAAUAAAGGAACAACAAACAGCAUUCGCGAUACAUCACAAAUGAAAGUAGCCUCUCACCGUGAGACUUCUUUUUCUCUCAACCAACUCUUCUCUCUUUUGGCCUCACUGAAAAUACAAAAAAGAUGAGAUUUUAGAAAUAUUUGGAAUCCAACGCAUACUAAACUUUGAUAACAGUAUACCUUAGUAUGCCUACUACACAUACUAUGACCGACUUCAUUUGUCAUUCCUUUCAAACCCCAAAUAGUAAAUUCGGGAAGACUUACCUUUCACUUCGUCAAUGGUGGCCAAACAAAAAUCCUAAACUUUGAUCUCUUCACACUUCCUUGUCUCUCAACUGUGCACUGGAAGCUCAACACAGGAAUUGUAGGACCCCAUAUGUACUCUCUAUACGAAAGCUGGAUUGAACAGAGAUACACAAAUAAGGAUAACUCAGUAGGAAAACACAACAUUUUGGCUAAAGCGAAGUUGAGCAGAUAGAAUACAAAUCAGAAAAUUAUGGAUUUUAAAACAACAAUUAUAUUUUGUUCAAAAUUGACUUCUGUCUCAAUUCCUUCCCACCAAUCAGGACUCUUCAAGCAGUAGUACAUUUCAGCCUAGCCGACAAUGAUAAAAAGUAUCCGUGCAUCAUUUUCCUUGUGCUUUCACUUUCAUGUUAUGUACGUAGUAAUUGUUUGUACUCUUCUCUUUUGUACACCCUUAACAUAAUCAAAAUUAGAAGAUUUUUCGAUCAUUCAGGGGGCUUAUCAAAUUUUCUUUCUAUAUUAUAUUUCACACAACAGAAAAAUGAUAAAAGCUAUACACUUUAUGAAACCAGAAGGUUCCUGAAGCCUUUCCUUCGAUGGUCAGCAAGGGACAACGGCAGAGAAAUUACUAUUAUUGGCAUUGCCUGGAAACUCUAAUGAUCCGUAUCUUCCAGUACAAUAAUUCUUUUCAGCAUCCUAAUUGAAUAAAUAAGACAGUUUUGACUUAUGAGCACGCCAAUGGUAUUUCUUUCUUUCUUUUCCAUAAAUUAGAAAGCUUUCCAAUGAAUUCGAGUUCUAUCACAACUGAAACAAACGUUUAGGGCUCGUUCGAUAAACAUUCAGGCUAAAACUUUAUGACAUAAAAUUGCACUGCAUGAUAUUAUUAGUAGAUCAAGAGACAUAAGGAUUUUGUUUAAAAUGUGGUUUAUACAUAACUAUCACAAAACCAAGUGAAUCCCACAAUUUAACUUCAACCAUUGCUAAUUUUUCCAACAUUAAUCAACAAUGCCAAUUUUUCCAUAAAAUGGAAAGCUUUCCAACGAAUUCGAGUUCAAUCACGAUUGAAACAAACAUUUAGGGCCCAAUUGAUGACCAUUUAAGCCAAAACUGAGCACACCUAAACCAUUCCUAUUUGUACCAAAUGUUAAACAGAAAGCAAUCACAAACGUGAGUCACUAAAGUACAGAUAGGUUAUUGAAAUUGAGAUGGCAGAAACGAAUUAUGAAUGGAAACAUUAAUGCCUACAAGUCAGAGGACAUUUGAAAGAAAUGGCAGAAAAGAAUUUGUGCCUCCAAAUACUAAUUCUUCCCCAUAACCUAGAAUUUAAAAUUACCAUUUUGUGCCAUUAGGAUGUGAAAACUCAAGUGGCAGGUGGCAGCAGUGGUAACAAAUUACAAUUCUAAAUCUAGGAACAGAAACUGGGUGAUAAUUAACCCAGAAUAUAAAAUCCAAAUAAGUUAGAGCAAACUUUACCUCAAAUCUUCGCUUCUCUUGUACUUCGGUAUUGUGGGGUUGAGUUGUAAAUGGUAAAUGAAGUCCUGAAAACCGAAGAAUGAAAAGCGUUCAUUCAGCUGAAGAAUGAAAAGCGUUCUUUCAGUUAACUAAAAAGCACUCGUAAACGGAGUGAGACAUCUAGUAACCACAAAAAUGAACCUUGAAAGCAGACAUAAAUAAACUUCAACCACAAUUACGUUAAUAAAUUUGGAUACAAAGGAAAAUUAAAUUUACUCAAUUUCGAUAUAAGGAAAAUUAAUUAAUGCUGGAAGAACAUUUGUGCCUCAAUGGCGUGAGAAUUUGUUUGGGCCCAAAAUAAUAGUUUGGGCCGAGGGUAGGAUCACUCUCGGCCCAGGAGGCCAGGCGGCAAAAGGACCAUGGAUCGGUCAACCCGUGGGAGUCCAAACCUAGGGCGGUUAGGACGAAUCCUAGUGCAAUGGGGAGUCUCGACGGGAUCGGAUAUCCAGGAAACUAAUCCAGCUUAGCUAAGGACUAGGUUCAUAGUCCUAGUAGGUGUAGGAUUGGUCGAGGUGAUCCGGAGAUGGAAACCUAGUCCGAGUAGGAUGUAAACUCGGACUCAAGGUUCAGUACUAUAAAUAGGGGACGCUGUGCAUCAGGAAAAGCCCCUACAAAAUCAAUACAAAAUUGCCCUGCGCAAACUCUCACAACUUGUGAUUUUUUCUUUUUCUUUUUCGUUGACACAUCUUCCGUUGGCAUCAACAGCACUGUGAAAGCAACCGGUGAUAUCUUAAGUCGGCAUAGAUAGCUCUGUCACCGUAGAAUCAGCCGAUCUCGCAGCAUCUUCCGUUGGCAUCAACAGCACUACGGCGAGGACGACUGGUUACCUAUCCAAGUCUCGGUCGAGAAGGGUUUCCGAAUCCUUAUUGGUCGAGGUCAUCUCAUCAGCCUUCUCGGCGAAGUGAGGUGUUACCAGGUUAUUGUAUUCGGCACGUUGAAAGCCGAAUUCGAUUCGUGAACUUCGCAUUUUAGCAGCCUUGUCUUCAGGCUCUAGAACCCAAGAGGCCGAGAAUUGUUCCUUCCUCGCCGCAAUCGCAAGACACAAAAGUCAUCAGCGCGCUCAACGCAACAUCAACAAAUUUACUCCUCGGCCGAGCUCGGCCGACGAGUUGGCACGCCCCGCAAUCACCGAAGGACGUAGUUAGCUUAGAAAAUACUCGGCCUGCGCGCCACGUAGGCUCUGUAGUUUCUAGGGUCAACAUUUUGGCACGCCCAGUGGGACCCAGUGCUAAACUACGAAGUUCAUGCCAAUUGAAACACGAUCGGUAAAAAAGAAAACAGCUAUGGGAAAGUCGACAGCCGAUUUGCCGAGUCAGAGCAUAGGACAGAGUGUGCCACAGGCGCAGAACCUCCUUAGCGCUGCGACACCUGAGUCCACGAGCGCGACUCGCCGAGAGAGAGAAGUUAAUCUCGGCGGUCAGCCCCGUGGUUUAGAGAUCCCCAACAGAAACACGUGCGUUCUCAAUGAAGGGAUAAUAGAGGAUUGCGACGAGGAUGGUGGUGAAGGAUCUGACCCACCAACGAGGUCGUUUCUCCGAAAGCGACUAGACGAGCAGUCUCGGUCAGUCGAGCAGACAUUUAGUCGAGGCAUCGACAAACUGCAUGAUGCGAUAGUCAGUUCUGCUGAGCGACAGAACAGGUUGCUCGAAAUGUUGUUUAGUAAAGUCGGUGGCAGCAGGCCUUCCGAUCUUCUCCAGCAUUGCCCUCCAGGAAACAAUCCGUUACCAAUUGUACCGGCCGAACCUAUUCCUGCUCGCCCCAAACCAAUUGAAUUGGAAAAAGGUGGAGGGUCGAACAGCGGGUCAGACGGAACCAACCAGAGGAGUGAAGCAGCACCUGUUGAUAUGACCGAAGUCCAGCGGAUGAUUGACUCGGCCAUGAAAAAGGGGCCGAAGUUUCCUAAGUUUAUCCAUUCGUACCCAGCUUACGUGGAAACGUUUGGAUACCCUAAAGGCUUCAAGAUUCCAGAUUUUAGCCUCUUUGCCGGUGAAUCGUCCUUAUCUUCGUUAGAACACGUGGCUCGUUUUACCGCGCAAUGCGGAGAUGUUAAUAGUGACUUUCAUAAGUUACGGCUGUUCAACUUCUCAUUGACCGGCUCGGCAUUCGCUUGGUACAUUAAUUUACCCCCCAAUUCCGUCCAGAACUGGGAAGAGUUGGUCGAGAAAUUCCAUGAGCAGUUUUAUCGGCCAGGAAUGGAGAUGUCAGUUUCUUCGUUAGCAAGGAUGGCUCAGGCAUCUGAUGAAUCACCAAUGGAUUAUCUUACUAGGUUCAAGUCAGCCAGGAAUUGGUGCCGAGUACCUUUACCCGAAGUAGAAUUCGUCAGGCUUGCUUUGAACGGAUUAGACGUCGAAUAUAAAAAGAAAUUCUUGGGGGCAAAUUUUCGGGACAUGUACGAAUUAGCCCAACAUGUCGAACAGUAUGACUAUUUGCUCCGCGAGGAGAAGGUUUCGAAAACGCCAUCUCGGGGGACGCUUUACAAGAAUCCUACUGUCAACUAUGCGUCCACCGAGGAUGAAUGUGUUAGUGUGGAUGCGGCCGAGAUAGUAAUAGAUAAGCCAUACGUUUGCAAGGCGUUGACUCAGGUUGAUUCUAGAGAAGUCAAAAGUCGCUCGGCUACCGAAGGAGCAUUGAAACCGUCGAAGGUUUACACUUUUGAUAUUACCAAGGCUGCCGCAAUUUUUGACCAACUGUUGUCCGCAAGAAUUAUCAAGCUUCGGCCUGGUCACAACAUUCCUAAGGCCGAAGAGCUUAAGGGAAAGGUGUAUUGCAAAUAUCACAAUUCGAGCAAACAUACGACAAACAAUUGUGUCGUAUUUCGUGACAACGUCCAAAGCUGGAUUGAUAAUGGUAAACUGAAAUUUCCCGAGAAGAAGAUGGGUAUUGACGCUGAUCCGUUCCCCACGGCAACCGUGAAUAUGGUCGAUGCGUGCCUCCCUAAGGACAAAGGGAAAGGGAAGGCCGAAGUCGUUACGACGCAACGUUUUCGGACUCAGAAUUCUCGGCCACGCUUCAUGGCCGAUUUCCGUUCAAACGCACCACCUACGGCUUUAACAGGACCCGCUGUUGUCAAACCUAUGAUGGAUUAUACUACCGAUGAAGACAGCGGGACGGCGGUUUUGUGCAGGAAAUGUAGAACAAAGGUCGAGAGAGUGAGCCAGAGGAGAAGCCCCUUUACUUGGGACGGAACGACCCGUGGCCGCAACCCGGCGGAAUGUUGCCAAGAUAGGCCAACAUCAAGGGGUUUUUGACAGGCUUGGUCCUAAAGUACGGAUGGAAGAGAUACCCCCGGUCCGGAGACGCCUCGAUUUUGAUGAUUCGUUCUAUGACGAUGAUUACUACAAACGCAAUUCUAGCAACUCAGAAUCAUCGCGGAGCCAGAAAACCUUCAAACCUCCUGAACCUAAAGAUCAACGGUGGUAUACAUAUCAUUCUUCAAGGGGAGUUUACACGGCACUGUCCAAAUCCCAGAAACGUAGGCACCAAAGGAUGGAUUGCAUGGCUCGCCGACGGGCAACCCAUGAAACUUCGGUCCCUAAAUGGCGGCCGAAGGACACAAUUGCUCCCGAUGAUGAGCGACCAAGUCCCUCUAUCAUGACAGAGUUGGUUCAAGGGAAACGGUUGGUCGACCGAGAUGUUGAAACUACGUUCGAGGAGGCUGAUAAACGGAUCAAACUUCUUCUUCGGCCAGGGGAGAUGAAGGCACGACUCGAGUUUUUCAGACAAGAGGCCGAAAGCAAAUUCGCACCGCCAGCUAUACAAGAACCUUUGAUCAAAAUUCGACGGAAUUUGCAUCCACCAUUUCUUGGGGAGGCCUUGGAAUAUAUGCGAGAAUUUCAUAAGAAGCAUUCGGCCAACGAUCUGUAUGGUUUGCCGAAGGCAUGCCAGGACACUAUUGAUCUGAUCCUGACUUGUCCGGAUGCCGAGCGAGUCAUCCAAAAGACCUCAGAUCCAGGAUUGAAAGCAAGGUUCCAGCAUAUCCGAGAAGCUCGUGUCUUUGGAUUUGAAGUUGACCCGUACACCGAUAUCGUUGCAGCUGACCUCCCUUUCUCGAUGGAGGACCUUCAGUAUUUACGAUAUCACUUCGAGGUAUUUUCGGCUGUUUCUCUCUUCGGCCUUACGGCCGAUGAAGUUGCACGUGUCGCACGUCUAGAUGCUUAUCUCGACAUCAGGGAUGCCCAGCUCCACUAUCAAGAGCAGGUUCAGGCUUUGGCCCCAAGAGCACUGUCAAUUUUGACCCUGCCUGAAGCGGUCGCACAGGACCAACAACUCGCUGAUGCAGCACCGCCGAAUGAAGCCAUCACAGAGGAAACAGAGGAGUCUUGUUGUCCAACUUUGACAGCAACGGAAUCGUUCGUUGCCGACCAACCGAGCAAGGAGGGUAUCGACCCAAUGGGCCCAUCAGUCCUGGAGAAUAUGGAAAUUAGUAUGGUCCAUGUGUUACCUGCCGAUUUUCAAUCACGCACGGCUCAACCAAAUUUCCUCGAUGGAGAUGUGGUUGCCGAAGAACCCGGCCAUAUUGAUUUUGUGUCGGUUGCUGAAGGAGAGUCAGAAACAAAAGAUGAUGGUUUAAAGGCUGCCUUGGCCGAAUUGUUCCCUCGUUCAUCGUCGGCCAAGCUUCAACAUUUAAAGCCAUUGUAUGUGACGGCCCACAUUGAGGGGUAUCCAGUUUCUAAAGUUUUUGUCGACUGUGGGGCUACCGUCAAUAUCAUGCCCCUGAACAUCAUGAAGGCCUUACGCCGUUCGAAUGACGAGCUUAUUCCGUCAGGAAUCACAAUGAGUAGUUUCGUCGGCGACAAAUCCCAAACCAAAGGGGUACUUCCGUUAACCGUCAAUAUUGCUGGUCGCACCCACAUGACCGCCUUUUUCGUGGUUGAUUCCAAAACCGAGUAUAAUGCAUUGCUCGGCCGAGAUUGGAUCCAUCAAACCAGCUGUAUUCCUUCUCCGUUGUAUCAAGUGCUUGUCUUUUGGGACGGCAAAUCGGUCACUGUUCAUCCGGCCGAUAGCCAACCCUUCGAAGCUAACAUGAUCCAAGCCCGGUAUUAUGAUGACCACGUAGGCUACAUUACAUUGCAAGGCUUCAAUGAAGACGGACGGCCGACUCGGAUUUCGGUUCAGAAAGCUAUCGAGGUUGGCGCCGAGACUGUCCACCAGGAUUCGGCGAGACUCGGAUUGGCCAAUUUUCUCCCCGAGUCUGAUGUCUGACACAGACCAGGACAAACGUAGGGUCGCGGUUUCAUCUACGAUGGAACGACUGCUGGCCCAUUGGUAUACUAUAUCUCGGCAACCGAAUUCAGGCGUUAACCUCGUCGAAUUCCUUGCCGAAGAGGAUCCUGGUCCUGCCCUAUCUUUUGAUCAAGUUCGAGCCGCCCCGGCCGAGCUCGAGGAUUAUCGGCCCCAAGUUAAGGACCCCCUAGAAGAAAUUAAUGUUGGGACGGCCGGUGACCCACGGCCUGUGUUUGUUAGCGCUUUACUUCCUCAACAAAUGAAGGACGAGUUGCAGGCCUUGCUUACGGAAUUCAAAGAUUGUUUUGCUUGGAGCUAUCAUGAAAUGCCCGGUUUAGAUCGUGCUCUGGUCGAGCAUGAAUUACGUAUUAAGCCCGGAUUCAAGCCUUUCCGUCAGCCACCUCGUCGAUUCUCGACCGAAGUACAACUCAGUAUCAAGGUCGAACUAGUUCGGCUUUUGAAAGCCGGAUUUAUUCGGACAGCUCGAUAUGUCGAAUGGUUGGCGAAUAUUGUUCCUGUAUUAAAGAAAAGUGGUGCACUGCGCAUCUGCACCGAUUUUCGAAAUCUGAAUCUGGCAACGCCCAAAGAUGAGUAUACAAUGCCGAUUUCAGAUUUGUUAAUCGAUGCCGCGGCGAAUCAUGUGAUCUUGUCCUUUAUGGAUGGACAUGCCGGGUACAACCAAAUAUUUAUUGCCGAAGCCGAUGUGCACAAAACUGCUUUCCGUUGCCCGGGGGCACUCGGCACUUACGAAUGGGUUGUCAUGCCAUUCGGCCUCAAGAAUGCCGGCGCCACGUACCAACGGGCGAUGAACACCAUCUUCCAUGAUUUAAUUGGCACCAUCGUCGAAGUUUAUAUCGAUGAUGUUGUCGUCAAAUCUAAACGCCGACAGACACAUCUGGACGAUCUCAGACAGGCUUUCCUCCGCAUGCGUCAGCACAACCUCAAGAUGAAUCCUGCGAAGUGUGCCUUCGGUGUAUCGGCCGGGAAUUUUCUUGGUUUUCUCGUACAUCAUCGUGGGAUUGAAGUCGAUGAGAAUAAGGCUCGCGCAAUCAUCAUGCUCCACCCCCAACAACGAAGAAGCAAUUACAAUCCUUACUCGGCCAGAUCAAUUUUUUACGUCGAUUUAUUGCUAAUUCGGCAGGUAAGAUGAAAGCGUUUUCUACACUUUUGAAGCUCAAGGACUCAGAUAAGUUCGUGUGGAAUGAGGAGCAUCAGGCGGCGUUUACACAGAUCAAGGUUUCUCUCACAAAUCCACCUGUCCUGGUCCCUCCUCGGCGCGGUAAGCCUCUCAAGCUAUACAUUUCGGCGGCCGAGGAGUCCAUUGGUUGCCUUCUCGCAAGACAACGAUGCCGGACGAGAACAGGCUAUCUUCUACCUCAGCCGUAAUCUGAGUCAUCCGGAGAUCAAUUAUUCCGCCGUUGAGAAGCUCUGUCUCGCCGUAUUCUUCGCUGCAUCCAAGCUUCGGCAUUACAUGCUCCCGUCGGUCACCCAAGUCAUUGCCCAGACCGACGUUAUCCGGUACAUGCUUACCCGGCCAAUUGUGAAGGGCCGAAUUGGGAAAUGGACGAUGGCGUUGUCCGAGUUCAGUUUGCAAUACGUGCCGCAAAAAGCUGUGAAGGGACAGGCAUUGGCCGAUUUCCUUGCCCAGCACCCUUCGCCUUACGGGUUUGGGAGUGCUGACGUCGAAAUCGGCAUGGUGGUGACCCGCGACAACUAUUGGACGAUGUAUUUCGAUGGUUCUAGUACUUCGUCCUCGGCCGGCGCAGGCAUCGUCAUUCAAUCUCCCCACAACGAUCGUUGGUAUUUUUCGCUCAAAUUGGAUUUCGACUGCACCAAUAAUCAGGCCGAAUACGAGGCGCUGGUCAUUGGUCUGGGCCUCCUUCUUGACUUACACGCCACUCGUGUCCUCGUCCUCGGGGAUUCUGAAUUAGUGAUUAACCAAAUUAAUGGAUCUUUUCGCUGCAUGAGUUGUACUCUGGCGCCUUACCACAUGGUCGCCAGCUAUUUGGCCGAGUCUUUUUGACGGUGUUACAUUCGAGCAUGUUUCUCGGGUUCAUAAUACCGACGCAGACGAGUUGGCUCAAAUCGCCUCCAGUGCACAACUCCUGGGGGGCAAGCUAGGCCGGGAGAUACCAAUAUUACGACAAUUAUACCCGGCCUUGGUUGAUCAGCAAAUCCUCCGUCGAGACAAUGUGAUACGCACCAGGGUCAUGUCCCUGCCUUCGUGUUGUUAGAUCGGCAGGACUCUAUAGAAAUUUGCGCGGCCGAGGCAGUACCAGAUGAUUGGAGAAAGCCCAUUAUGCAGUACCUUGACAAUCCUAACGGAAAAACAUAGUCGCAGGACACGGGUUCACGCCACGAAUUAUGUCACGUACCAGAACGAGUUGUACCGAAAGGGCGAAGAUGGUUUGUUAUUGCUAUGCCUCGGCCCCCAAGAGAGUGCUCGAGCGAUCGCAGAGGUUCAUGAAGGGGUAUGCGGAGCUCACCAGUCUGGACGAAAAAUGCGAUGGCUACUCCGACGACACGGUUAUUUUUGGCCGAGAAUACUGAAAGAUUGUAUCGAGUUUGCACGAGGAUGCGUGCAGUGCCAAAUCCACGGGCCUAUACAAAGGGUCCCGGCCGAAUCACUACAUUCGGUCAUUAAGUCGUGGCCGUUUAGAGGAUGGGCCAUGGAUGUAAUCGGCAAAAUCAUGCCGACUUCCGGAGCUGCUGCUAAGCAUGCAUGCAUGGAUAAUGGUCGCAACUGAUUACUUCACUAAGUGGGUCGAAGCAAAAUCAUAUGCCGAGUUAACAUCUAAAGAAGUUUGCGAUUUCGUGGAGGAACACAUUGUGACCCGAUUCGGUGUUCCAGAAACGAUCAUAACUGACAAUGGAACAAUCUUCACAGCCGAAAGGUUCAAAGAAUACACGGCCAAUUUAAAAAUUCGGCUGGAACAGUCCACACCGUAUUAUCCACAGGCGAAUGGGCAGGCCGAAGCAAGUAAUAAAGUGUUGAUCGGCAUCCUCGAAAAAAUAAUAAAAGAAAGGCCUGGCAUGUGGCAUUUGAAGUUAAACGAGGCAUUAUGGGCAUACCGAACGUCGCCCCGAUCGGCGACUGCAACAACCCCAUACGCAUUAACCUACGGACACGAUGCGGUGCUGCCAGUCGAGUUGAGCAUAAAUUCGUUGCGAUUAAUUGAACAAAGUAGUUUGUUUAGCGCCGAAUAUAAUCAGUCCAUGAGACAGGGACUGGAAGAUUUGGAAGAGGCACGACUUGAUGCUUAUAACUUACUGGUGGUACAAAAACAGAUUGCCGAGCGAGCCUAUAAUCAGAAGGUGCGACAGAAAACGUUCGGCGAGGGUGAAUUGGUGUGGCAAACGGUGUUGCCCAUAGGAUUAAAAGAUCCUAGGUUCGGCAAGUGGUCGCCGAAUUGGGAAGGGCCGUUCAUUGUGCAUAAAGUAUACGGCAAAGGGGCGUAUCAUCUUAAAGACCGGACUGGAGUAGUUCACAAAUUACCAAUUAAUGGGAAGUUCUUGAAGAAAUACUAUCCGGUCACAUGGGAAAUGCGUGAAUAAAUAAUUGUUGUACCAGUACAAAAAAAAUCAUUCCAUUAAGAUUGAUAGGUAUUACAAAAAUGAUUAGGUCGAAUACAUUCAAGGAGACGAGGGAAGAAGAGUGCUGAGCAGAGCCUUCAAUUCCAACCACCGCAUGUCGGCCAUGAUGACUUCGGCUUGCCGAUUCUUUUUGUCCAGCUUCAGCUGCUCGACCCGUUUUUUGGCCGCCGCAUACUCAGUUAGGCGAUCCUUCCCACCUGACUCGAAGUCCCUCGCAAGCUCAGAAGCAAUGGCCGACCGGCGUUUUGCUAGUUCGGCCAUCUGACGGUCGAGCUCGGCCAUCUGACGGUCGAGCUCGGCUAACGCUUCUCCUUUUGCCCGUAGAUCGUCAAUCUUCGGACGGAGGGUGUUUUGAACGGCCGUGGCGGCUUGCAGGUCUUGUUCGGCCUUCAGCGCAGUCUGGAAGAUACUAAAUGUCUCCCGAACGCGCUCCAAGGCAGACGAUGCCCGAACAAUGGCAUCUCCGCUCAGGCGACCGUCGGCUCCAAGGUCGUUCAGACACACGCCGAGCAGAUCAAGACCGUUGCGUUCAAGUACUUGCGAAGAUGAGAGCGACAGGACUUCCCGCAACUGGGUUAAGGCGCUUGGAUCGACAGCCUCAGUCGGAGCGGCCGAAGGGCCGGACUCUGCAGUCGUGCUGGAAAGGAGGGCUUUGAAUUCAACCUCCCAUGAAGCCUGCACGAAUAGACAAGGUUAAGCUUAGAGGAAGUCAUGACAAGAAUAGCAAAAAGGCGUCAUUUUUUUAACCUGCCGAGAGGAGACCUCGGCCAUGUCCCCAGGAUCGUUGCUCGAACCUAAAGAACUCAAUGGCCAAGCCCAGUGUCUCAGAUUGCUUCUCACUUCACACGCGGCCUAUGGAAGUUAUCUACGUUUGAUGGCCACUGAGGCGGCCAGGAAAUAUAGAUAACGCCCUUCGGCGCAUAGAAUUGACGGUGAAAAGAAUGUACAGGCACCUGACAUUUAGUAUUUUCCUUGUUUAGAAUUCUAAAGCAGAAAAGCAAUCAGGAGGAGACAAUUGAAGGUACUUACAAAAGCCGAGGUAACCUCUUGUGGAGGAAUGUGGAAGCCUUGGUCUUGAGGAUGGACCGGCGAUUCCGCCGUGGCCUCGGGUUCCUCGAGCAGCCGUUUGCCACGGUCGGCUGCCGAUGGGCCGACUGGCGCAGCUGCUUCAGAGGAGGCAGGGACGUCCUGGUCCUGAGAAGGAACGAGAGGUUCGGCCACCGGGGUUGGUUCCUCGACCGUGCGCUUGCCACGAUUAGCCGAGGAGGGGCCGGUUUGAACCGCCAUCUCGGAUACUGGAGGAGGUUGUCGACGAGUAUGAGGACGAUGCGCCAGCGGGACCUCGUCGCUCCCCUCACUCUCUUCCAACACGAGGACCGAGGGCGUUGGAUUCUUGGGAGAGGUUCCCUCGGUCGUAGAAACCGCCUGUUGUGAGACAGGUGCCUUCUCGAUAGAGGGAGGGACAAUUGAUGCGCCGGCCACAAAGGCAGGCCGCGCUGGGGCCGUCUCUGCGGCCAAAGCCGACUGUUUCUCGACCCCAGAAUGACCGGCGGCGGGAGAAGGGGAAGCACUGGGAGUCGUCGUGUGACUGGAGAUAACGUGGAUCUCCGGUGCACCUUUCUUCGCCAUUUGUUUAACCCGCUUAGCAGGCGGGGAAGGCUCGACAGCCGGCUCGGCCUCUUGGCGAGGCCGUUUGAUCAGCACGGCCCUACCAGCGGGUUUGUCCUUUUGGGCCACGACCGAUUUUUUCCCGGCCGUGGCAGCGGCAACUGCCUCCGUCGUUCUCAAAGGCCGAUUACCUAAAAAGAUAAAGACAAUUCAGUAAGGCAAAUCAAUAUGCAAGGUUGAUGGAAAGGAGGAAAGUGGAACAGGUACCUUGAGGAUGAGGGGCCGAGGCCUUCUUAGGCCGGUCACCGAAGAGUCUGCUAAGCACCUCUCCGGCCGGCGCACCAAAGAAUUCCUGGGUGUAUUUCUCCCACCAUUCACCAAAGGUGUCGGUGCAAUGGGUUUCCGGGGUGGCAGGUCGAAGGCGGAAUUUUUGGCAGCGCUCUUGGAACUCCCUCACGGCGGUUCUACACUCCUUCUCAGAGGAACGAGGUUCGCGUCCACGGCUUAGGACCGUUCGGGAGGAGAGAAGGGGGAUAGGGCAGCCCUGAAGGUAGCCGAGCUGUCGGGCAAGGAAGUUCGGAUGAUAUACUUCCCAACCUGACCGUUUCCCAUCACAACCGAGAGGGAGGUCGCGGGCAAGCACAAACGCCCCCCAGGUCUGACGAAGAUCGGCAUCUUCCUCUGCGCUCCAUGGGGAGGUAGGCAGCCUGAUGGAGGAAGGGUAGUCUCGACGACGACAUAUUAGGAACUCGUCGUUGGAGAAGUCGUCAAGAGCGAAGAGGUACCGAAAUACCUCUUCGGCUUGAUGGGGAGGUGUCGGUCGAGAGGCCAGUUGAGGCCCAAGCGCCUCUGUUGGUGAGAAUUCAGCUAUGGCCGGCCGAAUGGAGGCAAAGUAUACCUGCAACCAGAGUUGGAAGACCCAGAGAAGGACCAUUCUGGUGUGGGUCGACCUUGUGGAGGGUCGCCUCGGCCAGGCAGCGGAAAAGUUGGGCGAGAAUGUUGGAACUCAGUGCCAAGACGUGACCACUAGCCAGGGCUUCGGCUACCGGCAUGUUCUCGACCAAACACUUGUUUGACUUGGUACAACAAAUGUAUUUGUUGUACCAGUAGAAGAGGAAGGCUUCAUGCUCUCCCUCUCGCAGGUCUCCUCUUCUCCUCGGCCGGCGAAGUGGAGAUAGAGGGUGUUGUAAUUACAGAAGUUCUUGUGGAGCUUCUGAAUAUCUUCCUUCGACGGGAUAUGACCGUCACGGUUCAAGGUCUCGGAGGCCCGACGGUCGAAGAGCGUUUUCAGGUCGAUAUUCGACGGAUGCCCAGAGAGGGUCGCGUCGACAGGGAUCCCGGUCGCCGAAGUCCCCCAGAAUGGCAGUGAUAUCCAGGAUGGUGGGACCAAUGGGACCCAGAGGAAGGACCAUUGUGUUGGUGGCCGAGCACCAGAAGCACAGAGCGGCUUGGAGAAGCUCCUUGUCGGGGACAAUUUCCAUAGACGAAAGGAGGAUGGCGUCGUAGAUGCCAAGGGCCUUCCAUUGCUCGCCGAAGAGUCGUUCCAUUCGAACGACCCAGGCUGCCCAGGAUGUGGUCGUCGAGGGCCAGAAGCCCUGGGGUUUAGCCGCAUCCCAUCGCGACCAUUCAAACCCUUGAAGCAAGGGUGUUAGGCAGUGCUCCUGUAGAAGGCCGAUGAUAGUCGGCGGUAUUGUAGCCUUGAAGAGAGGACCCAGGAUUUGGUACUGGGUGCUCAUGUCGUUUUCAAACCGGAUGGUCUUGAUCGAGCUCCGAUCAAAAAUCUUCUGAUGUUGGUCACAUUCCCUGGAAAGCUUGGAGAUGAAGGACGCCAUUGUGAGAAAGAAGCACGGAGUAAAAGGGUUGUCUGGGUUGGGGACUUAAAGACGAAGACUUGGAAUAAGGGAAAUGCACUAGAAAUCAACGGCAGAGGAUUUCAGGAGGUUUGAGAGCGUAAAGGUACAAAUGAGGGAAUUUCGGUAUUUAUAGAGUUAUAGGGGGAAGAGCAAUCGUUCGAAAUUCAAAACAAAGGGCAAAAUCGACCGAAGGAAUUGUCGAUCAUGAUGAACAUUUGGGAAAUGCGGUUGAGAAGACCGAAGGUCAGGGUUUUGGGGGCGCAGGAUUGCGUGUGACGGCGAAAUUAAUAACGAAAGACGGUUCGACGCCCGCACGAUGACAAGUGGGCUCACGGACUGAGGUAGUGGCUCGCGGAUUGAGAUAGUGGUCAUGAUGGCAAGACGGUUCAGGCUGCCGCACGCCUUAGACGUCAUUACGGGGGAUUGGCCAUGUUAGAAGACGCCACGUGGCGAGUGGGUUAGCAGGUUCAAGAUCGUGCGAUCGUGCUCAAUAAAUGCGCCUUGGAACUCGGGUAUUAGGAUCCUGAGUGGUAGAUUCGCUUCUUCAAGGCCGAAACUCGGCCGAAGGUUUCAGGCCGAGGACCUCAGAAGCGAGGGGGCAAUGUUUGGGCCCAAAAUAAUAGUUUGGGCCCAAAAUAAUAGUUUGGGCCGAGGGUAGGAUCACUCUCGGCCCAGGAGGCCAGACGGCAAAAGGACCAUGGAUCGGUCAACCCGUGGGAGUCCAAACCUAGGGCGGUUAGGACGAAUCCUAGUGCAAUGGGGAGUCUCGACGGGAUCGGAUAUCCAGGAAACUAAUCCAGCUUAGCUAAGGACUAGGUUCAUAGUCCUAGUAGGUGUAGGAUUGGUCGAGGUGAUCCGGAGAUGGAAACCUAGUCCGAGUAGGAUGUAAACUCGGACUCAAGGUUCAGUACUAUAAAUAGGGGACGCUGUGCAUCAGGAAAAGCCCCUACAAAAUCAAUACAAAAUUGCCCUACGCAAACUCUCACAACUUGUGAUUUUUUCUUUUUCUUUUUCGCUGACACAUCUUCCGUUGGCAUCAACAGCACUGUGAAAGCAACCGGUGAUAUCUUAAGUCGGCAUAGAUAGCUCUGUCACCGUAGAAUCAGCCAAUCUCGCAGCAUCUUCCGUUGGCAUCAACAGCACUACGGCGAGGACGACUGGUUACCUAUCCAAGUCUCGGUCGAGAAGGGUUUCCGAAUCCUUAUUGGUCGAGGUCAUCUCAUCAGCCUUCUCGACGAAGUAAGGUGUUACCAGGUUAUUGUAUUCGGCACGUUGAAAGCCGAAUUCGGUUCGUGAACUUCGCAUUUUAGCAGCCUUGUCUUCAGGCUCUAGAACCCAAGAGGCCGAGAAUUGUUCCUUCCUCGGCCGCAAUCGCAAGACACAGAAGUCAUCAGCGCGCUCAACGUAACAUCAACAAAUUUACUCCUCGGCCGAGCUCGGCCGACGAGUUGGCACGCCCCGCAAUCACCGAAGGACGUAGUUAGCUUAGAAAAUACUCGGCCUGCGCGCUACGUAGGCUCUGUAGUUUCUAGGGUCAACAGAAUUACUCAAAACAAACAUUGUGAUGUGCAAACGGAAAAUGACCAUGCUCACCAACGUAUAUUUGGUGACAGAAAACUUAUACAGAAAAUGACCAUGCUCUCCAAGUCCAACCUACGCGUUGGCAUUCUCCUUUCCACUUCUCUAUAUGUGAUGUGUAAACCACAUUGGUUGUCCGACUAAGACAUAUAGGGAAAAAAAUUCGGUGCUUAAUUAAAUAAUUUUUGCAUGAGUUGUUAAUUAUAGUAGGUCUAAUUCUAAUUUUAAAAAUCUCAACCCCAAGUAUAAAUAACAUCAGUGAAAAAUUAGGUACAUGGGGAAUCGUGUAGUUAAACAGAUUAUUAAUGGCUAUAAGUUAGAGGACAUUUGAAAGAAAUGGUAGAAAAGAAUUUGUGCCUCUAAAUACUAAUGCUUCCCCAUAACCUCGAAUUUGCACUCACACUCCUCACUCAUCACUCAAACAGAAGAUUAGAUUAGAGUUUAUUAGAUUUUCAGGCUCUACGUGAGUGACUCUGUGUGAGGUGUGUCAUCAGAGCAUGCAUCCACUCCAUUGACAUUUUAUGCAUAUAUAUAUAUAUAUUCGAAAAUUUGAAGUAUCUUAUUUGUCAACAAACAGAGGAAGCAAGCAUACAUAAUCCUUAAAUACUUGUUGAUUGCAGGGCAAGCAAGCAUCAUAUUAGUAUAAAAAAAGGUCGUACCCAGUGCACAAGGCUCCCGCUUUACGCAGGGUCUGGGAGAGGUGAAUGUCGGCUAGCCUUACCCCCAUUUAUGGAAAGGCUGCUCCCAAGUCUCGAACCCGAGACCUACCGCCCAUGGGCUACAUAAUAUCCUUAAUUUAACCCAAUUUUAAAUGACUCAAACCUUUCCUCCAUACAUCUUAAUAAAUUAAGUUUCUAUUAAUUCUGGUGUAUUUUGAUUUUCCCUCUCUUUGUUUGAUUUCAGCUCUAGUAGAACAUGCUUUGUUAUAUUAGAUACGUCUGCUCAAAAGGAGGCGGCUAGAGCCUAUAAACGCUUAUAAAGAAGAUAUUCCAUAAAGUUUCCAUGUUGAGUUAUGAUCAAGGCAGAGUUAGAGUCAUAUCAGGAUCACUACAGGUUCUGGGAAAGGAUUGCCAAAAGAAAGCAUGCAUAACUUCUCCUACAAUUACCUAAGCAUCCUAUUAAUAUAUGUGACAUGUUACAGAUACUACAAUCUGGGUGCCCGAAAAUAUGUUAUUGCUGCAGAAAUAAUUUAUGUAAGCCAGUUGCAGCUACAAUUUGAGGAAAUAUACAAAGCCUAAUAAAAAAGUUCGUAACUUCAAAUUAUCUUAUCAUACAAUUUGGUGGAGCAAAAACUAAAACUACCAACAUCAAUAUGCAAUGUUAGUCAGAAAACAACUAUUUCAUAUUCAUAACCAUUAACCUCUAAUGCUCUGAGCAAUCUUAACGUUAGCCUGCAAAUUAUCCGACCCCUACCCUGCGGAGGUAUUAUAUGAUUAAUUUGUCAACCAAAUAGAGAUCACUUCACCUGACAUCAACCAAUAAGAAAUACCACUUGUUAAAAAAAAAAAAAAACCAAUACCUGUGCUCUCUUUUUGUGAUAUCGCAUUGCAAUUUUGACACCGUAAUAUCAUAAAACGUCGAGCAAAUGAAUGAAUGUGCACUUCCAAUCAAACAUCCAAUCCUUUGUCAUAUAUCUGCAUGAUAAAAAUGUAAACUACCCACUGUAGGGGCGAUUGGGAGAAACGAAAAAGCAAAAAAGAAAGAAAAAUCACAAGGAAUUAUUAACUUUUGGAUUCACAAGUAAACUUAAAUCAACAACAAAACCAAUACCUCUGAUAUUUUUCGUGUUUGAAAACAAAGCAUAAACCCUAAACAAUUAUUCCCCUCACCAUAGCCUUGUUGUUUUGGUAUAUGUUUACACUGAGAAGGAAAGGAAAGAGCAUCAUGAUAAAUUUAGUCCCAAUUUAAUCCCAAUAUACUGGGAACGAUUAUAAUAGUACAGAUUAAAUAAACGCACAAUCAAAGAAAAUCAAAGGUUAUUUUUGGAUAGAAAAAAUAAAAAAUAAAAAAUUAACAGGAAUUAGAAAAAUUAACAUACUCUUUACCCUAAACUGGAGUAAAAAUCGUCCACCGAUAAAUGAUUUCAAUAGUCUAUCAUCCUUUUCGACCACAAAAUUUUCCAGAGCUUCAAUUAACUUUGUAGUCUGAAUUCAUUUUGUUAAAUAUUUUCAUCCUGGAAAGAAAAAAUUAAACAGAGCAACAUUCCCAAAUUAAAGACACAAAAAAAGAACCCAAAUUAAAAUCUUGGGUUAAAACCCUAGUUCUUGAAAUUGGGUACCUGGAGAACAUGGCAAUGAAGGUGACGGCGGAGGCGGAGAAUGGCAGAAACUAAGAACGGCAAAAAAGAGAAUCGAAAAGCACAGAAAAAGCGGAGAAGAAGUCGAACUGCAGCGAUGAUGAUGGACGCAUGGGCUAGGAGGUAUAUUCUAAAUGAAUGGCAUAGUCGUAAUCAAAGUGAAAUCAACCCAAAAUUACUGUAGUUGAUAAAUUUUAACAACUUUCUGGAAAAUAUAUUCAGGCAUCAAAAUUUUCAAAUUUUCCAAAAAGUUGAUAAGAUUUAUGUUUGGUAGGAAGAUAAACCAGAAGCCUAUGUGAAACAGUAAAAGUAAUAGAUACGCAUUGAAAAGCCGAUUGAAUCCAAUCAAAAGAGAGAAGCUUACCCGCAAUCUGCUUCAAUGCAAUGUACCGACUCCCAGCCAUCACCAGUCUCCAGGAACUUAUACAAAAUAACAACUUUGGUCAGAGUUCAGAAAAAGUGAUAGGAAUAAAAAGCUCAGUUCUGUUUUUAAAAUGUUUAGAAAGAAUAAAAGAGUACCUUUAGAAGAAUGACUGAUUUGAGUUGAAUAAUGUAAUAAUCAGCUACCCCAUCACCACCAUUCUAAGUAAAUUACAGAUUUAAACAUAAUAUGUCAGAACUUGCGCAUAAUUUAAACUAAUUGACUACAACAAAUGGUACUUUAAAAAAAGUUACAAAUACGCAUGUAUGAAUAUGAAGAACACUUCAAACUUAGAGAUGAAUUGUCUUCUUUUUUUUCUUUUUGAACUACAAAUUAACAAGUAAUUCAGUUUAAUAAAAAGUAAGAGAGGAAAAUAGAAUAAAUUGUGCGUAAUUCAUUUAAGAAUGGGAAAAAGGGAAAAAACAUACCAAUAUUUGGAAUAUGAGAAAUCUUGUGCCAUUCCGGGCCGCUCUCCUCGUUGCAUCUCUCUUUUAGAACGGAACAAUUACAAAUGUCUAUUGUUUUUAAUUUGGUGAGGCAUUUCAUAGCUUCAGCUGUAGGAAAAUAGUUCAGAUUCAUGCAUCUGUCUAUACAUAGGGACUGAAGAGAUGCAAAGUUCCCCAACCACUCGGGAGAUAAGAAAAGGUUUAGCUUCUAUCUGAUUUCAAUUAUACAAUUGACCGCUGUGGUUGAAUAUAAUCAUAUUAUCAUUAAAUCCCAAUAAAAACAAUAACUCUGAGAACUAAAGUUUUGAAGAAAAGGGGUUGUAUCACUGUCCAUCAAGUUUACAAAUCAAGGAAAUAAACAAUUUACAAUUUAACACAAUGGGUUUUAUUUAUUACUGAUUAAUA
rnacentral:lncRNA from 1 species